rnacentral:lncRNA from 1 species
CGACCUCUAGAAGUUGAAAAUUUAAAACAUAAUGUAUUUGAUGUAACUGAAUUAUGAGAAAGUGGAUACAUCUGAUGGUGUGCAUCAUUGACAUGCAAAGUUUUAUAAGAGGGUGAAAGCACCUCUUUCUUUUUUACUGAUGGGAGAUGCAAAGUUUUCAAGGGUGAAAGCACCGAUUCAUCUGAAUUGCUAUUUUGGGUGAAGAAAAUCAAGAAAUCACCUGGGAUAACUAAAUUAAACGUGUUCCUCGCAAACAACCAAGACAAAAAAAGAAAAGAAAAAGUGACUUUAGAGUGAUCAUUUUUGGAAGUAAAAGCUCGUGCACUGUUUAUGCCGGUGAAUCUCCUAACAUCGUAGCCAAAGUAUGAGUACUGAGUUAGUAUAUCUUUUUAUAUAUAUAUUAGUAAUUCUUUGUUUUUGAUAAGUAGUAAAUUUAAAUAUAUUAUGCUAAUAAUAUAUGCAUGUUUCUUUCUUUAUGUAGAUGGAGAAUAAUGGUGGCUUCAAUGUCUUCGUCAAUCCUAAUAUACACUACGCAUUCAUAGUGACACUACUUACGAUUAUGAUUGUUAAGACAUGAAAUGUCCUGAUGAUCAGCCCAAGGAUAGAAUGAAUAAAACUAUUUUAAAAUUAAAACAGGUAUAAAACGGUGAUUGUGAGUAAAACCGUCGUUUACCAAUUACUUUGGUUUAAAACAACGGUUUCACUUACAAUCACCGUUUUAUACCAAAGCGCUUUGGUAUAAAACGGUGAUUUUACUUAAUAACCUUCGUUUUAGACUCAUUUUAUUAUCCUAAAUCAAAGUGCGCCACUUACGCUUUCGUUUUUCGUUUGUCUUUUCGCGUACUCUCUUGCUCUUUGGUUCUUCUCCAUUAUGACAUUCUCUAUUGUAAGUUUUUCCUCCUUCAAUUUCACUCAUUGCAUUCUUUAUUGCUUAUUAUUUUGUCUUUCUCUUAUUGGUUUCAUUGGUUUUGGUUUUUGUUGUCGCUGCCACUCUUUCAUUAGUGAACUUCGCUCCUCCACGGUUUUGUGCUUCUUUGCUACCAACAUCGUUUCGUUGUCGUUGCUCGUCGCCACCAUUGUCCUUCACCAUCGGUUCUGCCCACACACAAGGUUGAUUGGUGUUUUUAAUAUUUUAAUAUUUUUUUAGUAUUAUUAAUUUUUAUAUUUAAUAUUUAUUAUAAUUUAUAUUUAUUAUUAAUUUAUAUUAUGUUAAUUGUUAGGGUUUAGGAUUAGAAUAAAAUUAUUAAUUUGUUAUUGUUAGAUUAUAACAGAAUUAUUAGUUUGUUACAUUGUAAUUAGAGUAAUACUAUUUAGUAUUUAUAAUUAAUUUAAUAAUUUGUAAUUAGAUUUUGUAAUUAGAUUAUAAAUAAUUUUUUGAUUUUUAAUUGAUAUUUUUUAUUAUGUAUAAUUCUAUUGAAUGUAUAUUUAUAAUUCUGGGAUACGUUUUGGUAUUGAGUUCGAAGAUGUUCGACCCUCGACAAUUGUUUCCUGUAUGAGACCCUUAAUUUCCCGUUUGAGAUUUAAUACAUGUAUUUUUCUACUACUCCAAUUGUAAUUUUUUUUAAAAACAUUUUAUAAAAAGUAGAGGAGGUUUUAGGACAGUAAUUGUAUUGAGUCUUGAAUUGUCCAGGUGGACAUUUUGAGAAGAACAAUAAUUUUUAUUAGUUCAAUAGUACAUAACUUGUAAUUGAAAUGUCAUAUAUAUUUUACAUAAUUUUGGUUCAUAGCACUUCGUGUUGUUUUUUAGUGCAUAUUUGAUUGUGGAGAUUUUGUGUCACCACUUUCAUUUCGUGUUAUCUGAAGACCAAUGCGAAAUGUUGCCGAAAUUUUGUUAAAUAUAAGGAAUGCUGACUAAAAUUAUGUACAAUUAAAUUAAUAAAAGGGAAUCUUCUUGAAUGAGAUAAGUUCAUACCUAUAAAAAAAAUGUGAGAUUUCACAUGCAUUAGUGAACACCUCAAUGACCAUUACAGAACAUAAUGGAUUGAGAUUGGAUAAUAAUUUCGUCCACAUAAGUGAUGAGUACGAAAGAGGAGUAGAAAAAUUUAUACAAUUUGCGCAACGUAAAGCCAAUAAUAGUGGUCAUGAUGGAGUAAAGUUUAGGUGUCUGGGUGUUAAUUGUUUGAACGGAAGGAGAUUGGAUGUUAACAAAAUCAAGGAGCACCUUCUAUGUGAUGAGUUUCUACGAUCUUAUACAACAUAGACAUGACAUGGUGAAUUAUUAAAUUUACCAAGUUUUUUCGUAUCCGAAGAAUAGGUUCAGUCCACCAUGGAUUAUACAGUACAUGGUGAAGUAGAUGACGAUCGAUUGGAGAAUAUGAUUCAUGAUGUUGGAGCUGAGUCUUUUGUAGAAGUGCAUGGACUAAAAAACUCUCAUAAUAGACGGUAGUUAUGACCUAUAACCGUCAUCUAUACCUCUCAAGGAAGGAAAUAGACGGUGGUUUUGUAUAAUAACCAUCGUCUAUUCCCUUCCCUAGUAUUGUAUAGUCAUAUUUGAUUUUUGUUAUACACUACGGUUGAUCAAAAGAAUCGCGUCUAGAUGUGACUUAUAAAUGGUGAUUUUGCAACCAUUGUUUAUUCUCCAAUAGUAUAGACUAUGUGCUGAUAGAUAAUUGUUUUAAAAUCGCUCAAAAAAUCGUAGUCUAAGAACUUUUCUGCACUAGUGUAAUGACAAAAUCGUGAUGGAGCUCUAAGCUUCAAAGUAGACAAUACAUCGAAUAUGGUGAUUGACCGUAAUAAUAUUAUCUUAAGGGACUUAAGAUCUUGAGAUCAGAACAUUAAUAUCAUCAGUAAAAAUUGACGAGAUUUCAAAAUAAUUAAUCAUAUAAUAUAUUAUUGAUUUUUAUUUCUUUUCAGUCGCAUAAUCACAUUUGUUACAAAUAUAAAUCAACUCAAUUUUUCUCAAUCUAAAUUUUUUUUUUCUCAUUCUUUUUUAUCACUUAUGUAUACUUAAUGACAUAAUUAACCUAAUGUCAUCACGAGGAUGACUGCCUAAUAAUUUAUCAUAUUCUCUUAACAAUCACAUUUUUUCGGUAAAUAAAGGACUUAUAGAUAAAAAAAAUUUGGUAUUAAUUCCUUUAUAAAAAAAUCUAAAUCAAAUAAAUUUUAAUGUGAUGUUCUCUAAGAUCUAACCCCUCCUUAUUAAUUCCCCACAAAAAGAAGUGACUUACGGCACAAUACAAUAUUUUUUUUAUAAACAUCAUCUUUAACUCUCAUUGUCAGAUCAAUUCGAAAGUUGACAUUUAUUUUUUAUCAAAGUAUGUUUUUAAUCAGUGGUGGGUAUGUUUUAUAAUGAUUUAUCAGUAAUAUGUUUUUUUAUUAGUAAAUAAUAGAAUAAAAUAAAUUAGAAGAAUAAACCAGUACCAACUUGCAAAUUAGAAGAAUAGUUUCAGAUAGUGAUUAAACAUAUCAAAUACUAUUUUAUGUCACCGAAUUGGUUUGGAGAAACUGAAAACACCAAGUUCAUUGUACUCCAAUAGACGACCAAAAGUGUAUGUGGUUCAACUGUAGACGAAAAAACAAAUCCUCUUAGGCAAGUCUUCUCCUCGUUUUCUUCUUUUCCAUAUCCACUGUUAAAAUUUUAGAUUAUUGUUUCAAAUUUAUAAAAACAUAAUUUUGAGAAUUAUAGGAAAAGUUAUAUAUUUAUCUGCAAUAUUAAAUUAUAAGAUUGAAAAAAAUAAGAAAUUGUUUGAAAUUUUAAAUAAACUACUAGGAAAAUCUUUCAAAUUGUUUUAAACGGACUAAUCCAUAUAAGUAAAUAUUUAGAUAAUUUAAAGUAUAUGAUUAAAUCGUUUAAAAUCAUUUUAAUUAAAUAUAUUUAUUUAUUUUAUCAGAAAAUAAUAAUACAUUAAAAUAAGUCUUUAAGGAAUACAUUUAUUUUAUUAUUUUUAUAUACAAUUUUUUUUUAUCAGCAAGUAAAGCAAAUAAAUUUCUAUAUAAAAAAAAUAGUAUAAUCAAAUUCUUAUAUACAAAUUUACAAAAAAUAGACUAAUCAUGUGUUAGUUGGUUUUCCAGUUACAAAAUAAUCCAACCCUAUUUAUCUCUCCUCAUAACACACAUGUGAUGCAAUCAAAGUUCUCUUAAUCUCCAUAAACAACACAUAUCAUUGCCUGAUAAUUGAUCCUACAUACAUCAAUUCCUGCCACGCAUAAAACACGCAGCUAUAUCAUGGAUUGUAGGCACUUUCUUCUGUAGACUUUUUUCUGAUAAAAAAAAAUAUUUCUUCUGUUGACUUUUUGCUGAUAUCUCUAUGUGCAUUUUUUUUAUCAGCGAAGUUAUCUCUAUGUGCAUACUUAAUUGUGGUAGGGAAUAUUUAGUUGUUGUAUUAUUUGUGACCUUUUAUUUAAUAAUGUUGUCAAGCUCUUGGCUUAGGGUUUGAUACAUACACCUGCAAUUGGGGACUGGUAUUGUGUCUCUAUAAAUUGCCAUAUACAACACAUAAAUAAAGACAGUUUGGUUCCACAAAACACCUUCCUCUUCAAUGGCAAAGCAAGUCUCAGUUAUCAACUCUUCCUACUGUGCUCCUCACUCUGUCACUCUACAAAUUAAUACUGAGGAAGGAGCCACUUACAAUGAAAAGGAUGAUCGUCUCUUUUAUACUGACGAUACUUUUUUCACACUUCACAACCGUCGUGUCUUAUACGAUGAUGCAGAAAACCCCAUCGUCACUCUAUACAGUAAGGUGGUUCCUCAUGCAUCAACUAUACCCAUUCUCCAAUUAAUUAGCUUUAUUACUUUAAUAUUCGCCCACCUACAAAAAUAAUCUCUGCUUAAAUUUUUCAUUCUAGCCACUAACCUAACCAGGAUGUUAUUAUUCUUAAUUUUUAUGCAGACUGUGUCGUUGCAUGGGAGAUGCAACGUUUUCAAGGGUGAAAGCACUGAUUCAUCUGAAUUGCUAUUUUCUGUGAAGAAAAUCAAGAAAUCACCUGGAAUUACUAAAUUAAACGUGUUCCUCGCAAACAACCAAGACAAAAAAAAAAGUGACUUUAGAAUGAUCAUUUUUGGAAGUAAAAGGUCGUGCACUGUUUAUGCCGGUGAAUCUCCUAACAUCGUAGCCAAAGUAUGAGUACUGAGUUAGUAUAUCUUUCUUAUUUAUAUUAAUAUUUCUUUGUUUUUUUUUUAUCAGCCAAAAAAUAAUUAAAUUAAAUUUGAGACAACCCUUAUACUAUAACAACGCUCUUCCCUCAUGCUUCCUACAUAAAACCAAAAUUAAUAAACUAGGAUGAUACAGAAGAUAACGCAUAACAAAGGGUUUGUUUCCCUAAUCCUAGAUAGGCAUGGGCUUGAAAACUGAGAAUACCUCGCAAAAAACCAACAAAACUGCGCCUUCAAAUUAGGCACACAAACUGCUCUUGCAAAACUUGUGAUAGCAUAACUAACCUGCACCUACUAAAAGGGUGCAUCACACCACACAACACCGCAACAUCCCCUUAGAAUUAGGUUCCUGGCCAAGAUUUACUCCUCCUUCUUCACUCAACACGUCCCUGCCUAUAGUUGUAGCCCUGUACACGCUGACCUGGCAAAAGUGGUUGUAGAUAUCGAGUCUACUUUUUAUUCAGUCAACCGUAAUGGGCAGGGCCAAGAUGGAAUGUUGGAGGCCCAAUUUGGCGUUGGGAGGGACCCCAUAGUUGCUCAUGACUAUGAUGAUGGGCCAAGGCCCGAUAUGGAGAUCUGCGUGAGAGAGGAAGAAAGUGAUGCCCAGAUGUGUGGGGAACAGGGGACACAAACAGAACCGAACGAAGUUUCUGAUGACUACGAAGACGGGCCAAGAACCGAUAUGGAGAUAUGCGCGAGAGAGAAAGAAAGUGAAUCCCAGGUGUAUGGGGAACAGGGGGCACGAACAGAACCGAACGAACGCGAAGGAGAUGAUGUCGAAAAAUGCCAUACGCACACCGAAGAGCCUAGGGGAGGAAGCGCACAAGCAGUGAAUGGUGCGGCGAGUGAGAAGGAGGAUGAAUACGGGAUUAUGUAAGAAGAUGAACUUUUUAGAUACGAGGAAGGUGAUAACUCUGGAAAAGGGAACCAAUCAGGGGAUUUUACGGCGCGAAUCACAGGCCCGAGUAAAUCCCCAAUUCGUCAACGCAAGGAGAAGGGGCUUACCGAACUGGGGGACUCAGCAUCAAUCCAAAGGAGGCGGUCUGCAAGACUAAGUGAGAAACAAGCCCUGGUAGGCCCUGGUAAACAUCACCAAGAAGGUAAGAUUUCUGCCUCAAUCUCGGAUGGUGACAUAAAUAAUUGCAAUUACCGUCUUUGUGAACAAGUCCAUGGGGCGGAACCAGUACAAUUGUGGGAGGUGGGAAAACUAACAGGGCUUGUUUGCCAUGGGGAUGAAGAGGAAGUUGUCCAAGAAUACGUGGGUUUGGAAGAGAGGGAUACUAAGGAGGUGAAACAUGCUAAGGAGGGGGAUAGGGAAGUUCUGCUAUGAUAAUUAUAAAUCUGAACAUUAGAGGAAUGGGGGGUGGUACCAAGGCUAGGUAUUUGAAUCAUCUCAUAUCUAGGGAGGGAGCAGAAUUUGUUUGUUUACAAGAAACUAAAGCAAUGCAGUGUUCGGAUGCCAAAUGUUACUCGCUUUGGGGGGAUAACAAAGUUGGAUGGUUACACUACAAAGGGGACAACGGGGGAGGAAGUUUGCUCUCGAUGUGGCACAAAGAUGUUUUCAUCUAUGAUAGUCAUGUGAUGGGGAAGGGGUUUAUAUUCGUCUUUGGACUGCACGUUAAAGCUAAUUGUAGGUGUGGGGUGGUAAAUGUCUAUGCCCCAUGCUCAUUGAGGGAGAAGAAGGUGUUGUGGGGGGAACUGACACGCAUCAAACUGGCUUAUCAAGAUUUGAUUUGGUGUUUUUUUGGCGAUUUCAAUGCUGUUAGAAUCCUAAGCGAAAGGAAAGGAACAAGGGAAAGGGAGUCUCAAUCAAGCGAAAUAAGAGAUUUCAACCGGUUUAUUGACACCAACCUGCUAAUUGAGUUACCUUAUGUCGGGAAGAACUUCACAUGGUUCAAUUCCAAUGGGAUGGCCAAGAGUAGGCUUGACAGAGUAUUGGUAUCCGAAGAUUGGAUGCAUAUUUGGCCAAGCUGCAAACAGUAUGUGCAACGCAGGGAAGUCUCUGAUCAUUGUGCCUUAGUAGUAAAAUCCGUGGAUAAGGAUUGGGGCCCUAAACCCUUUAAAACAAUUGACGCUUGGUUGUCUGAGAAAGGAUUUAUGAAGAUGGUGAAGGACAGAUGGUCGGCUUAUCCAGCACAAGGGAAUAGCUUCAUGAAGGUUAAAGAUAAACUGAAAUGGUUGAAGGGGGACUUAAAAGUGUGGAACAGGGACACUUUUGGCAAUAUGGAGACGAAAAAGAAGAGGAUUCUACAAGAGAUUGAGGAUUUGGAUUGCCAAGACUGUAAUGGCAACUUUGUGGAAAGUGAGAGACUGAGAAGGAUCGACUUAGUGGGUCAUCUGAAGGAGAUUGAUAAUAAGCUAGACUCUCUUUUACGUCAGAAGUCUAGAGUGAGGUGGUUCAAGAACGGGGACUCAUGUACAAAAUUCUUCUACUCAACUCUGAGGUGAAGGAGAAAAAGGAAUGAAGUGAAGGGUGCUGAGGUUGGGGGCCUGUGGUGUGAGGAGCCUAGCACAGUACGAACGGAAGCAAGAAGGUUGUUUGAUAAUAGGUUCAAAGCAACAAAAGACUUACGGGUUAGACUUGAUGCAGUUGAGUUCAAGUACCUAUCUAUGUCAGAUAAUCUGAGCCUGGUAGAGGGAUUCACUGAGAAGGAAGUGAGGGAGGCGGUGUGGCAAUGUGAAGGCUCAAAAAGCCCAGGACCUGACGGGUUUAACUUCAACUUCUUAAAGAAGGGAUGGGAGUUCGUGAAGGGUGACUUCAUGGAAGUCAUGAACUUAUUUCAUGAAACAGGGCGUAUACCGAAGGGGUGCAAUGCGUCCUUCAUUGCACUUAUCCCUAAAGUAAAGAAUCAUGUUCUUCUUUAUCAGUACAGACCAAUCUCCCUUGUAGGGGCUAUGUACAAAAUUAUAUCCAAGGUGUUGGCUGAAAGGAUCAAGAAAGUUUUGCCUACGGUUAUUGAUGAUUGUCAGUCGGCCUUCCUGAAGAACAGAGGGAUUUUAGAUAGCGUGUUAAUGGCUAACGAAGUGAUUGAGGACAUCAGAAGAUGUGGGAAAAGUGGGCUAUGCUUAAAGGUGGAUUUCGAAAAAGCCUACGACUCGGUUAGAUGGGAGUUCCUCUAUGAUAUGCUGAAUAAGAUGAGGUUUCAUAGAAAGUGGAUCAGGUGGAUUCAAGGUUGUCUAGAAAGCGCCUCUAUCUCAGUAUUAGUGAAUGGGAGCCCGACAGAAGAAUUCCAACCUAAGAGAGGGUUGAGACAGGGAGACCCACUAGCUCCCUUUCUUUUUCUGAUUGUUGCGGAAGGAUUGGCUGGGUUGGUAAGGCAAGCAGUGAAGGCAAAUCUACUAUCCGGUCUUAGGAUUGGUAGACAAGAGGUCGAGUUAAGCAUUUUACAAUUUGCUGACGACACUUUGUUUAUGUGCAAGGACUCCUUUAGUAAUGUGGUGACUUUAAAGGCUAUUCUCAGAGGGUUUGAGAUAGCCUCUGGUCUUAAGAUUAAUUUCCAUAAAUCCAAGCUUGCAGGCAUUAAUGUGCCAAGGAACAAUAUCAUAUGUUACAUGAAGACUUUGAACUGCGAUCAGAUGACAGUGCCUUUCAAGUAUCUUGGAAUCGAGGUGGGAGGCAACCCAAGGAGGAAGAAAUUUUGGGAGCCAGUCAUUGACAAGUUAGAAGCUCGGCUUAGCACGUGGAAAGGGAGAUUCUUAUCAAUGUCAGGCCGAAUUUGUGUCAUCAAAUCUGUUCUUAAUGCCGUACCCCUAUACUACUUAUCCUUGUUUAGAGCUCCGGUCUCAGUCUGCAAGAACAUUAUUAGUAUCCAAAGGAGAUUUCUGUGGGGUUGGGGGAAGGAAAAAAGGCCGAUAUCAUGGGUAAGUUGGAAAAACGUGUGUAAACCAAAAGAGGAGGGAGGACUGGGUAUCAUAGACAUACGUGACUUCAACUAUGCUUUGUUAGCCAAAUGGAGAUGGCGUUGGCUAUCGGAUGAGAAAGGAAGAUGGAAGGACAUUUUGGAGUCGAAAUAUGAUGGAGGAGGCGAGGUUAUGCAAUCCUCUCUUAAAUCACAGUCAUGGUGGUGGAGGGAUCUUCAUAAAGUAUGCACAGAAGGAAUAGGAGACGGAUGGUUCCAAGCCGAAAUGGGAUGGAUCCUAGGAUCCGGUGAAAAAGUAAAUUUUUGGGAGGACGUGUGGGUUGGAAAUUCCAACCUCAAAUCUUUAUUCCCCAGGCUGUAUUCUAUAUCUUGUAAUCAGGGCCAGACAGUGAAAGAAGUAGGUGAGUGGGAAGGGUCAGAAUGGCGAUGGAAUUUAAGGUGGAGGCGUGCCAGAUUCGAGUGGGAAUCAGUGUUGGAAACGGACCUAAUAAUACACAUAUCUAGGGCGAAUGUUAAAAGGCAGGAGCAAGACAUUCGGGUGUGGGGGAUCAAUGAAAAGGGGUGUUUUUCUGUAAAAACAGCAUAUGCAAGCCUAACUAAGAGAGGUGAUGGCACCCAUAAUGAAGUCUUUAAACUAUUGUGGAAGGCCAAGGCUUUUCCCGCUGUCACGAUCACUGCAUGGAGGGCCUUGUUGGACAGAUUACCAACUAGAGAGUCUUUGGAGAGGAGGGGAGUGACGAUGGAAUCAACGCUGUGCGUUUUAUGCCAAACUAAAGCUGAAUCUUGUCACCAUUUGUUUCUAGAGUGUGAUGUGGCUGUGCGUGUGUGGGAAUUAUGCUAUAGAUGGAUUGGUAUUUUAUCCGUACAACAUAAUGCCUUAAAAAAUCACUUUGAAAGCUUUANNNNNNNNNNNNNNNNNNNNNNNNNNNNNNNNNNNNNNNNNNNNNNNNNNNNNNNNNNNNNNNNNNNNNNNNNNNNNNNNNNNNNNNNNNNNNNNNNNNNCGAAGUAUUUGGGAGCAUAGGAACUUCAUUGUGUUCAAACAAGGGGUUGCAGAUGCAGAAGAGAUGUUUCAACAAGCUCAGCUUAAAUCUUGGUUAUGGAUGAAGAACAAGGCACACAAGUUCAACUACUCUUUUGUGGAUUGGGUUUUAAACCCAAUGCUUUGUAUCAAGAGUUAUAAGUGAAGAUAUAUGGUAUAGGAAUGUUAGGAGGUCCUGACGAUGAUCUUGUGCACAGAAGGAUGUACAGAGCUACAAAGGGUACACUUUUGUUGUUUAUAGUUUGGUUGGUACUCUCGGCCCAAUCGGUGUUUUGUUCAAAACUGCAGUUAUGAGCUAUAGGUGGAAUGGAGGAGUAUUAGAUGCUGGACGUGGUUAUGGACAUGGCUUUGGACACUCGUUGCGCUCUCUGGGGUGAAUGGUGCAAUGGACUGGAGUGAUAGUAUGGGUAGCUGAUGCUGCUAGAUGGGGUAGGGAUGGCCUGGAACGGUAUGCAGUAAAUGCUACAUUAGGUGGGUGGGGCGGAAUGGUGAUGCUGUAAGGUUGGUUUGCUGAAGCAAGGUCUUGGACCGAAUGGGUGAAAAGGCUUUGAUGGUGUCACAGCUUUUGGGUGCAGUAAGGGGCAUCACGAAGUAGGAACGCUUUGGUUGCCUUUUCACAUGUGUUAUGGCAGGUCUUUGUAAUCAUAGCAGCAACACUCAAUUCUCAGGGUGCAACACGGACACUGUGCUGAACGUGGAGGUAGAAUCUGUUAGCAAAAUGUGGUAAAAAGUGAAUGGGUCCAUGAUGCUUUUCUGGUCUAAGAAACUGAAAGUGCCUAUGGCUUUCGGUGGGAGACUUGCAUCCAACUCUGAAGCAAUUAUGCAGUGGUCAUUUUCUUAGUUUUUCCAAGUGGAUCACGCCUGAGGUGGGGCAGGGGUUUUUCUUAUAGCUAAGUUGUGUACUCACUGCUGUAGUAUAUUCUGUCAUAUAUAGUUGUAUGCUUAAGCUUUGAACACUUUUUGUAUACGGGUUGGGACACCCCUGAAGUGUCCCGUUCUAUUUCAUUAAUUCAUUGCUGAUAAAAAAAAAACAAAUAUAACCAGAGUAACCACCCUUCAUCCAACUUCCAUGUAUCAGAUUAUUUGGUGCCAUCUGAUUACAGCACCUUCAACUGCACCUUACAGAGCUCCCUUCACAAAACUUAUCCACAGCACAUGAUUUGAACCAUACAAACCUUGUGCCACCUUGCAUGUCAAGACCAGAAAAGUGGCUUCUAUUUAGGGUCAACUUCAGCUGACAAAAGGCUUCCCGAAUUCCGCCAAGACCAGAGUCAUACAAGCAGCUUGGUUGCCACUUAGUAAAAGAGCUUCCUACGCUUGGUUAAGGCAUUUGAACAUUUUUCCAAUGGAGCACGGCUCCAGAUCCACAUCUUCGUAGAUGAGGUUCCUCCCUAGGAAAGCAAGGUGGUCUAGUUCCACCCAAAGCCAGUAAAGUCCAACUGUAGCAGACCUGCAGCAAGACACCCUUAAGCAGCACCAGACAACACCUAGAAAACAAAAAGCAUACAGCUCCUAGACACAAUUCAACAACAACUUUGAAGUCUCUUAGACUUCUGAACCUUGUCCACACCAGCUUGAACUUGUGCAAGAAUCCCUCGUGAUUCGCUUAAGCUUCAUUACAAUCUUCUUAGAACCUGUACUUAAUUCUACUUUCACUCAGCAAACCUUCAGAUCCCUUAAUAUGGCAAGACAAAUCCUAAAAUCUAAAACAGACCAUCAGGAUCAAAUUUUCCAACAUCUCUCAAGCUGGCCAAAAAGCCCAAAUCCAUAUGCUUCUCUUGAUAGCCCCAUACUAGUAGCCAUUACACUUUUUGAAUUUUUACAUUCAAUUGUGUAGCUUUGCAUACUAGAUUCAUAGUUACUGUCCCACCAACACCUCCAUCUGUGUCAUGGCCCUAUACUUUCACAUUUCAUAUGACAGCAACACCCUCUUGGUCCUUAAUUCCUUGCCCAAUAAUCCAGCACAUUAGAAUACCUGCAGAAAAAUGCGAGUAGAUGUUUUAUAGUCCCUUUCACACCAAACUCCAUUCUAAAUGCACAGGGCCAUGACACGGGUUGGUGUUGCUCCAACUAUAGGGUGGACCUCUCAAAACCCACCAGUGCCUAGCCCCCAAACUCCAACAGUCCUCUAAAGUGAGCUUUAUAUUGGGGGGAAUACUACAACAGUUUGCACUCCCAUCCUGACACAGCCCCCACUUAUUCCUCCAACCAAUUAGAGCUGAUCACUAAACCCUAUGUCCAGGCCUUUAGACCAGAUAUGCCAACAAACCUUCCGUUUCUCUAGGGACCACUAGAUACAUCACUUAACCCCACUUACUUAUAGCUUCCAAUGCAGAUAAGUGGGUUCAAGACCCAAUCCACAAAAGAAUAGUUGAAUGUGUGUACCCUAUCCUUUAGUCAUAGUCACGACUUGAGUUGGACCGUUUGGAAUAUCUCUUCCGCAUCAACUAUCCCUUGCUUAAAAAUUAUAGAGUUCCUGUGCUCCCAGAUACACCUCACUAUAGCUGCCAAAACACCUUUCCACAAUAGGUUUUGUGUACUACUGGCCUGAGAUAAGUAGAAAUUCUCAAAGUGAGUCAUAAGAUCAUUGUGUUGGACAAACAAGAUACCAAUCCAUUUAAAGCACAACAACCAAACAGCCUGGGCAACUUUGCAUUCUAGGAAUAGGUGUUGGCAUGAUUCAUCCUUAGUCUGACACAACGCACAUAAACUUGUGUCCAACGUCACCCCUCUCCUACUCAAACUCUUUCUUGUUGGGAUUCUUCCCAAGAGUACCCUCCAUGUUGUGGUUAUCACAUUGAGGAAUGCUUUAGCCUUCCACAGGUACUUGAACACAUCAUGAUGAGGACCUAUUACAUGCUUAGCUAGACAUUCAUAUCUGAAUUCACAAAGAACACCCUUGAUUCAUCACACCUCCACUUCUGUAUAUCUUUAUCUUCUGUAGACAUGUUAGCCCGAGAAAUGUGCAUAACAAGAUUUGCUUCCAUGACGGCUUCCCACUCGAAUCUGACUCGCCUCCAUCUUAGAUUCAACUUCCAUACUGAUUCUUUCCACAUUCCAACCUCUUCCACCUUUUGGACCUGAUUUAGAGACAGGAAGUACAACCUGGGAAACAAAGUUUUGAGGUUAGUAUUACCAACCCACACAUCCUCCCAAAAUCUAACUUUGUCUCCACCUCCUAUUUUUCAUACUAAUUCUUCUUGGAACCAACCAACUCCUCCUCCCUCUCUACAUACUUUAGAUAAGUCUCUCCACCAACAGGUUUGGAAUUUCACUGGUGUAUGUGAACUGUCUAACUCCAAGCCAUACUUUGAGUCCAGAAACUCCUUCCACCUUCCUUUCUCUUCUGAUAAGAGACGUCAUCUCCACUUAGCCAGGAGAGCAUAGUUAAACUUUCGUAUAUCUUUGAACCCCAGUCCACCUUCCUCUUUCGGUUUACACAGGUCUUCCUAGCUUACCCAAGAGAUUGGUCUCUUCUCCUUUCCCCAACCACAUAGGAACCUUCGUUGAAUAAUGAUUAUGCUUUUAUAUACCUAGUCCGGCUCUUUGAAGAGGGAGAGGUAGAAAAGUGGUACAAUAGUGAUAACUGAUUUGAUUAGACAUAUUCUCCCCGUCAUGGAUAGAAAUCUCCCUUUCCACACACUGAGUCUAGCUUUUAACUUGUUUAGAAUAGGCUCCCAAAACUGCUUCUUCCUUGGGUUCCCUCCCACUUCUAGGCCCAAAUAUAUAAACGGGACUCCCAUCUGCCCAUAAUUCAAGGUCUUUGUGUAGCAUACAAGAGCGUUUCUAUCAACAUUGAUGCCUGCUAGCUUGGAUUUGUGAAAGUUAAUCUUCAAGCCUGAUGCUAGCUCAAAGCCCCUAAGAAUAGCCUUCAUAGUUACCACAUUGACAUAGGCAUCCUCACAUAAGAAGAGAGUAUCAUAUGCAAAUUGCAUGAUACUAAUCUCUACCUCCUUCCUUCCAAUCUUAGUACCUGACAAUAGGUUGGCCUAUUGGCUUCCCUUACUAACCCGGCUAGGCCUUCAGCUACCACAAUAAAGAGAAAUGGGGCUAAUGGGUCACCCUGCUUCAAACCUCUUGUUCGUUUAAAUUCCUCCGUAGGACUCCCAUUAACUAGCACGAAGACGGUAGCGGAUUCCAUACAGCAUCAGAUCCAUUUUAUCCAUUUGCUGUGGAAACCCAACCUGUGAAGCAUAUCAUAUAAGAAAUCCCACCUAAUCGAGUCAUAAGCUUUUUCAAAAUCCACCUUAAAGCACAAUCCUUUCCCGUCGUACCUCUUCAGAUCUUCUACCACUUCAUUAGCCAUAAGCACACUAUCCAGCAUCUCUCUGUCCUUUAAAAAUGUUGAUUGGCUUUCAUCGAUAACCGAUGCUAGCACUUUCUUUAUUCUGCCAGCCAACACCUUUGAUAUGACUUUGUAUAUUGCGCCCACUAGUGAGAUAGAACGAUAUUGUUCUAGCUUGGUGGGGUCUCUUACUUUAGGUACUAAUGCAAUGAAUGAUGCAUUACACCCUUUCAGAAUUUGUCCUGCUUCAUGAAAGUAAGCUAAAGAUGCAACAAACUCAUCUUUGAUAAAAUCCCAACUUUCCUUAAUAAAGUUGAAAUUAAAUCCAUCAGGAUUAGGACUCUUUGACCCAUCACAUUGCCAUACUGCAUCCCUCACUUCUUCCUCGGAGAAAACAAAUAUAAGACUCACGUUGUCUUCGGGGGAAAGAGAUUUAAACUCUACCGCAUCGAGUCUUACCCCGAAAUCUCUUGUUGCUUUAAACCUAUUUUCAAAUAGCUUCUUCGCUUCUAUUAGAACGGUAUUAGGUUCUUCACACCAUUGGCCCCCAACCUCAACUCCCUUGACUUCAUUUUUAAGUCUUCUCCACCUUAAGGAAGAAUGGUAGAACCUAGUGCAGGAAUCCUCAUUCUUCAGCCAACUUGCUCUAGUCUUUUGACAUAUAAGGGAUUCUAUCUUUUUAUCAGUCUCCCUUAGUCGGUUCGCCAGUUCAGUUCUUUUCAACCUCACACGUCCCAAGAGAUCACCAUUGUCGUCGUCUUGGCAAUCUAGGAUCUCUAUUUCCUGCAGGAUGCUAUUCUUGGUUGACUCUAGGUUCCAAACACAUCUUUAUUCCAUAGUUUUAAGUCAACCUUCAGCAAUUUUAGCUUUUCUUUGAUCUUCGUUAUUUCAUUCCCCUGUACUAAGUAUGAUUGCCAUUUUCCUUUCACCAAAUCAUUAAAACCCCUCUCCAUGUGCCAGACGUCAAUGGUCCUAAAAGGUUUAGGACCCCAAUCCUUAUCCACGGUCUUCACCACUAACGCACAGUGGUCUGAAACUUCCCUCCUCAGGACAUAUUGUUUGCACAUUGGCCAUUUUUGUAGCCACUCUUGAGAGACAAGAACUCUGUCUGGUCUACUUUUAGUCGAACCAUUUGACUUAAACCACAUAUAUUUCUUACCUACUAUAAGUAAAUCCAACAAUAAGUUGGAGUCGAUGAAGCUAUUAAACCCAAAUAUCUCACUUGAUUGGUCUCCCCUGUUCCUUACACCUUUCCUUUCACUUCUGCUUCUUAUGGCAUUAAAGUCACCACAGAAGCACCAAACUGAGUCUUGAGAUGCCACUUUAAUAUUGGUUAGUUCCUCCCAUAGAAUCUUCUUUUCACCCAGAUGCAGCGUAAAUAUUUACUACAACACACCUACAGUUCGAUUUUAGGUGCUGACCAAAUAUAGCAAUGUACCCCUCCCCCAUCUGGUGACUUUCAAAACUAAAAGCUUCUUUGUGCCACAUUGACAACAAACUUCUAGCUCCGUUGUCCCCUUCAUUGUGUAUCCAUUCAACUUUGUUGUCCCCCCACAUAGAAAAACAUCUAGGAUGCGAAAAGACAGUUGUUUUUAUUUCUUGCAGACAUACAAAUUCUGCUCCCUCACAAGUGAUGAUAUGCCUCAUGUACCUAGCUUUGGUACCUCCUCCCAAACCUCCAAUAUUCAGGUUUACUAUCAACAUAAAUAACCACUUUUGUUACCCUCCUCAUAACUCUGCAUAACCUCCAAAUCUCUCACAUCCAUACACUGAAAUUCUUUCACAACCUCUACUUCAUCCCCACGGCAAGCGAUGCCAAUAUGUUUAUUAAUCUCCCAUAGCUUUGAUGGUUCCUCCAUAUAUUCCGACUCACGAUAUCUUGAGUUGCAAUUAUUGAUAUCCCCAUCAGAAAUGGUACAAAAUUCUUUCCUACACAAGAAUGAGAGGUAUCCCUUACCUAGGAUGUUCUUGCACUUAUUCUGACCGACCGCCUAGGGUGGGUGCUUGAUUCGCCCAAUUCCCAUAGUCCUUUCAUCUUGUGCCGUCGUGGGGGUGUUUUGCAGAUGCUUCCCACAUAUGCUUCCUCAUCUCCUAGCAAGAGAGAUACAUUCCUGCUUGGGCUAGUAUCCUUUGGUUCGUCAUUAGCUUCUUGGGCCCUAUGCAUAUCACGAUUAUCUUGUAGACCAUCUUGCUCCCACGGUUUCAGCAUCAAUCCGACAAGCGGCUCGGGUUUAGCUGGUUGCCUCAACGUGUUUUCUUCGUUGGAUUCUUCCUCUAGCACCUGCACCACCGAAGCUGUAGCUUGACAUUCGUAUUCUCCAGUAUCGAUUUUCUCUUCGCACCCUGACCCACAACCCAUCUGCAUAGACCCUUCAUCUCCCUCUUCCAAUUGGGCCAACGCACAACCCUUCUCUUGUCCACUUCGGGCCAAUUGCUUCCCCUGUUGGGCCAAGGAAGUAUUGGGCUUACGCUGGGUAAAGUUGUUCUCAACAUCCACCACAAGUCUAGCCAGCUCAGCGUGUUCAGAGAGGCUAUCACUAUCGGGGUCGCAGAUGUAGGUAGAGUGGUUGGCAGGAUCAACCUCUUCAGAUACCUUCAGACCCUUCAUUCCUUCAUUAGUGAAACUCUUAAAAACUUUUUCCUGGCUUACCUCUCCUUUCGUUGCAGAUACCUCAAAUGGUUUAUCCUUUGUCGUAUGCGCUUCCUGUUCCCCACCUUCAUCUGCCUCUCCUUCCUCCGCCUCCCCCUUUGACCCGCGGUCCUUCCUAUCCCAAACCUUGACCUCCUCCUCACAGCUUUUCGCAAAUAAGUCUGUUUCUUCUAUAUAGGUCUUCGACAAAGAGAUACUAUCAAAACACUCAUAAACAUUGAGGGCACACUUACAUUGGCUUUCAUUUAUUGUUGAGUUCUCCUCUUCAAUGAAUAUAUUGAACGUUUGGUCAUUUAUCUACAUACCCUUCGCCAACCUAGCGUUACAGUUCUUCAAUAAAUGAACUUGAAGUCUGGCGUAUUCAAGGUUCUCCCAUAAUAACGUGGACUUAUCAAUGGCCACCAGCUUUGCCACUUCUCCUACCACUUUAGAAAAAUAGUCCUUGUUCCAGAAGGUGAUCAGCAAACCAUAGCACCUCACCCAGACUAUCUUAUGGCCUGCUACAUAAUCUUCCAACCAAGGGUCAACGAUCUCAAAGACACUUUCGAACCACUCCUUGUUAAGUUUCAAAAGAUCUUCCAUGCUCUCCCCUUCUCUUGGCGUCAGGAGAGUUAGGUUGUCACCCAAAUACCUCACUUUUAUCAUGUUCAUUCCUCCUUUCACAAAUUCUUCUCCCAGUUGGGCAAAGUUCAUAUCUAUAUUGAACUGGCCAAUGACACUGUUUUCCAUCCACGACAAUACAUGAUGUUGCGUCUUGAUAACAGGUCCCUUCCAUUUCUGUUGCAAUUCACCUUUAACUAUGUCAGCAUAGGAUUUGUUUCCUUUCUUUUCCACCCAUACCUCUUUUCUCUUCAUCUUCCCGUUUAACACCGGAACCUCCUGGAUUCGCUUCUUGGUAUCCUUUGGGAUCUCCUUGUGUAGGAUUCUGUUUUCCCUUCUCGAUACUCUGUUAGAUUCCAACUCAUGCCUUCGAUAUCUUGGAAUGUUCACGUAAAGCUUCAUGUUUCCUAUAUACACUACAAGAAAAUCAUGAAAUAGAAACCAAUUUUUAGAGACCAAAAUAAUUAGUUGCAAUGGUAACUAAAUUAGAUACCAUUUUAGAAAAUAAAAAAAAAUUUGGUUUCUAAAUUAGUUUCUAUUAUUGUUAAAUAGUUUCUAAAUUGGUAUCUAAUUAGCAACCAAGGUUUUAAAGACCAAAUUUAGAAACUAAAUAAUUGGUAGUUAAAACUUUGGUUGCUAAUUAGAUACCAAUUUAGAAACUAUUUAACAAUAAUAGAAACUAAUUUAGAAACCAAUUUUUUAUUUAGUUUCUAAAAUGGUCUCUAAUUUAGUUACUAUUGCAACUAAUUAUUUUGGUCUCUACAAAUUGAUUUCUAUUUCAUGAUUUUCUUGUACUGAUAGAUUUGGUCUAGCUCCCUCUCCAGUCGUCCUGCAUUUCUCACUUCAAAGAAUCUUACAAACCCAAAUCUUCUCUCCCAUCUGUUUAGCCUACGGGAUAUGAAGACUUCUUUUACCCUAGUCCAUUUUUGGAAGACCUUAAUCAUGUCUAGUUCACCAAAGCCAUUUGGGAAGUUUGAGAAGAAGAAUGUUGUAAAAUCAUAUGUAGGUUUAUGUGGUUUGUGGUCAUACCCAUGGCCACCGUAUCUCUGAGUUCUUCUCCCUUCCAUUUCUCUUGGGUUAAGUUCUUUGUUGCAAAGUUGAUGUCUGAAUUUCUAUGUGGGGUAUUGGCUGGACCAAUUAAUGAACAAUGAUUGUGAAAAUUAAUUUUUUGUUUGUCUUAUAAGUAGUAGAAUUUAAAUAUAUUAUGAUAAUUAUAUAUGCAUGUUUCUCUCUUUAUGUAGAUGGAGAAUAAUGGUGGCUUCAAUGUCUUCGUCAAUCCCAAUGUGGACUACGCAUUCAUAGUGGCGCUACUUAUGAUUGUUAAGGACAUGAAUUGUUGUGAUGAGCCCCAGAAUAGUACAAAUACAAAUAAAACUAUUAGUGCCCUAAAAAUAAUUUCAUUAUCUUUUUGAAGUAGCUAAAUAAAUAUAUUGAAUAAGAAAAUAUAAAUAAAAGUGAGGAAAUAAGUUUGGAGUCCUCCCUAAUGUACUUAUAUAGAUGUCUGUUGUAUUAUGUUGUAUAUGGCUAUUUCUUUAUCUUUUAUUAUAUCAAUGACAGUAAAGUUAAUGGUAACUUAUAUAGAUCCGAAAUGUGUGGGAGAAGUUUUUUUUACCUUAUCUCUUGUAAUAGCAAAACCCAAACGACACAAUUUUGUAGGCAAAACAAAAAAAAAAACAUUCAUGGUAUAGGAAAAACUUAUCUUAAAGUUAGUUAUAUCAACAAUUACCAAGUUGAUAUGUUAUGUAAAUAACUUACUCACGAAUUAUUCUUUGAAUAAUAACUUAGUUAUAGGUAAGUUACCAUUGAAUAAAUUUGUGAAUAACUUCGUAGAUCAAUGCAUGCAUGGAUAACUUAUCUAUAGAAUUUCUUUUAGCUAAAUCAUGCAUGGACUUUUUUUUAUGAAUAAAUCCAUAAGAAAUAGUAAGAAUAUUUUUCGUCUUCCAAGUCAUGCCACUCUAUACUUCUAUAGUUACAAAUGUGAAAGAAAUUUUAUCUCAACAUUUAAAUAUCAUAUCUCAAAUAUUCAACGUUUAGUUCAAACAUCCAUAUGCAACACACUGAAAAAAAAAAGUUUUAAGGGGAUUUAUUUUUACAUUAUUCAGGGUUAAAACCUCUAUUAAGUCAUUUAUCCAGGGUUGCAGUUUCCCCGCUAAACCAUUCUUGGGAAACGUGUUCAUCGGGGUUCUUUUAAACCUUAGGAAAAGUCUUUCACAAUCCAUGUUCAUGGGUUUAAGAACCUCCGUAAAAUAUCAUGAGUUUUCAAAACCUUCGUAAAAUAUCAUUAGUUUCAAAAUUUUCGUAAAAUGACUUGCCAUUUGAUAUAACCUUCAACCUCAUUUUCCAUCAUCUUUAACAAUUCUCCGGACUUCUCUCUUCCACUUUAGAUACACUGCUCUCCAGCACAUGCUCAAUGGCCGCCAACGACAGUCCUAGUAAGGAAUCACAAUUCAGCCACACUUAUGUCUAAGGAGAAGAAACAUUAAAUAAGGCAUUGUCUUCUUCGAACUCCAAUAUUGUUCUUCCCCAACUUGGAUCACAAGCCACUAUUAUCUAACACAGCAACAACUGAUGUUUAUCACUGUUUUAUAUAUCCUAAAGAAUUGCAUUAUCUAUCAAAUGUGGGCUUCAAAACCAUGUGUGUUCUUGACUAACAAUUGCAAGAACAUAUUGCAAGAAGAAAUUAACUUUAUUACUUCUCACUUUUACAGUGAAUUAAUUAUUAGAUGUAUUUUAAAAUAAAGGCCUUAAUUUAAAAUAUUUCAAAAUUAUGAGAAUUAAAUAUUAACAAUUAUAACUAAAACUAAAAUUGCACAUAAAAUAUACGUACAUCAAAAGUUAAAACAAAAUAAGUCAGAUUUUUUGAAGUAUGAGCUCGUAACAAAAAAAAACUAGGAAUUAUAUAAACCAAAUAAUCAAUCAUAAGAUAUAUGCAAAUAUUGUUAAAAUACUUAUUAUCCAAGAUUAGUUGUUGAAAUACUUAUUAUCCAAGGUUUUUUUGUAGAUUUUUUAAAAUAAAUUUUUGAAACUUGAGAAAACUUAUUUGUAAUGGAAAGUUACACUUUCAAAAUUUUAGAGAAUUUAGUUAUAAAGUAUAUAAAAUAUAUUUAAACUAUGUAGUUUUAAUUAUUUAUUUAUAAAUAGAUUUAAUUAUAUUUAUUUAUUCAAGUUUGAAAAAUAUGGAGUGUUUUAUUGAGGUUCUAUAAUAAAUCUUUGAAAUUUAACGAAGGUUAAAAAAACUCUGUUAUUUUGUUGGGAUUUUAGAAUAAACCUUUGAAACUUAACAAAGGUUAAAAGGACUUUAAUUUACUGAGGUUGUAGAAUAAACCUUUGAAACUUACUGAAAGUUAAAAAAAUCCUCUGUUAUUUUGCCGAGGUUUUAGAAUAAACCUUUGAAAUUUAAUGAAGGUUAAAAAAACCUCCGUUAUUUUGUUGAGAUUUUAUAAUAAACCUUUGAAAUUUAACCAAGGUUAAAAAACCUCUGUUAUAUUGCUGAGGUUUUAAAAUAAACCUUUUGAAUUUAAUGAAGGUUAAAAAAAAAUUCGUUAUUUUGUUGAGAUUUUAAAAUAAACCUUUGAAAUUUAAUGAAGGUUAAAAAUGUAAAACAUGGAAGCUUUGAUGAUCCAAAUCAAAUCUGAGUGAAGGGUUGAUGCUUUGGUGUUUUGGUUGGAGCUUAGUUCUAGGGUGUUUAGAAUUCUUGUACAGAUCAUUCUUGUCCUAUGCACAAAGCUAAAUCAAUCUAUGUUAAAAGAGAAAAAUGUUUUUCUAAGCAAAGAGAAAAACAACCGGUUGAAAUCACGAUAUAAUCAGUUGUUUUACACUUAGCCUGAUUGAAGGUUUUCAAUACUGUUUUUGACUUGGUUGACUAACUGUCAUAACCAAUUCAACCGGUUAAAACGACAUUUCAACCGGUUGAUUGUCACGUUUCAUAACAUCUUUUUCAAAAACCUGUUGAAUCUGUUUUCAGUUCGGAAGAUUUGUAUAAGAGUUAAUCUUGUCAACCUGAUUCUAGUGUUCUUGGUCCUUGUUGUAAGAACAAUAUAUAUAGCUUACAUAAUAGUGUUAAUGAUUAUAGUCUNNNNNNNNNNNNNNNNNNNNNNNNNNNNNNNNNNNNNNNNNNNNNNNNNNNNNNNNNNNNNNNNNNNNNNNNNNNNNNNNNNNNNNNNNNNNNNNNNNNNNNNNNNNNNNNNNNNNNNNNNNNNNNNNNNNNNNNNNNNNNNNNNNNNNNNNNNNNNNNNNNNNNNNNNNNNNNNNNNNNNNNNNNNNNNNNNNNNNNNNNNNNNNNNNNNNNNNNNNNNNNNNNNNNNNNNNNNNNNNNNNNNNNNNNNNNNNNNNNNNNNNNNNNNNNNNNNNNNNNNNNNNNNNNNNNNNNNNNNNNNNNNNNNNNNNNNNNNNNNNNNNNNNNNNNNNNNNNNNNNNNNNNNNNNNNNNNNNNNNNNNNNNNNNNNNNNNNNNNNNNNNNNNNNNNNNNNNNNNNNNNNNNNNNNNNNNNNNNNNNNNNNNNNNNNNNNNNNNNNNNNNNNNNNNNNNNNNNNNNNNNNNNNNNNNNNNNNNNNNNNNNNNNNNNNNNNNNNNNNNNNNNNNNNNNNNNNNNNNNNNNNNNNNNNNNNNNNNNNNNNNNNNNNNNNNNNNNNNNNNNNNNNNNNNNNNNNNNNNNNNNNNNNNNNNNNNNNNNNNNNNNNNNNNNNNNNNNNNNNNNNNNNNNNNNNNNNNNNNNNNNNNNNNNNNNNNNNNNNNNNNNNNNNNNNNNNNNNNNNNNNNNNNNNNNNNNNNNNNNNNNNNNNNNNNNNNNNNNNNNNNNNNNNNNNNNNNNNNNNNNNNNNNNNNNNNNNNNNNNNNNNNNNNNNNNNNNNNNNNNNNNNNNNNNNNNNNNNNNNNNNNNNNNNNNNNNNNNNNNNNNNNNNNNNNNNNNNNNNNNNNNNNNNNNNNNNNNNNNNNNNNNNNNNNNNNNNNNNNNNNNNNNNNNNNNNNNNNNNNNNNNNNNNNNNNNNNNNNNNNNNNNNNNNNNNNNNNNNNNNNNNNNNNNNNNNNNNNNNNNNNNNNNNNNNNNNNNNNNNNNNNNNNNNNNNNNNNNNNNNNNNNNNNNNNNNNNNNNNNNNNNNNNNNNNNNNNNNNNNNNNNNNNNNNNNNNNNNNNNNNNNNNNNNNNNNNNNNNNNNNNNNNNNNNNNNNNNNNNNNNNNNNNAGUUGGUAGUGUAGCACAGGUGUAGUGACAAUAUAAUAGUUGUGUAUCUCUUCUCUCUCUCUCUCUCUCUCUCUCUCUCUCUCUCUCUCUCACUCCUUAUAAACUGUUUGAUUUUAUUUUGUAUUGAUGCUGUCAUAAAAAACCGAUUAAAACGAAGUUUCAACCGAUUGAUAUUCUGCAAACAGUUUCAAUUACCUUGUUUGAUUGGCUUCCUUGAUUACUCUUCUGUGAUUGUUGUUAAAACUUCAUUCUUAUCCAAUCUUUUCAAAAAUCUUUUGACAAACAAUUCACCCCCCUCUUGUUUAGGCCAUUAAUUCUAACAAAAAAAACCUUCGUUAUUUUGUUGGUGUUUUAGACCAACCUUUGUAACUUAAUGAAGGUUAAAAAACCUUCGUUAAUUAAAUCACAUCCUAGGGUUAUAUUAACCUCCACUAAAUAACCUCCGUUAAAAUCCUUUUUUUCUUGUAGUGACAACAACAUUUAACUUCAAACUAUAUUUUAACUUAAAACUCUAUAAAUUACUAAAUGUUAAGAGUGUGUAACUUGACAGAGGGUGUUAACAAAAUGUUUUCCUAUCGAAAAUCACAACCCCUCACACAAAGUCCACCCCCGAUGUAUGAAUGGGAUGAGGAUGCAUGAUCCACUCAUCAUAUUUCGAUAGGCAUCUUGGAGGGUGUGGAGUGGUGUGGCUCGAACUUCCCAUCCUCCUUAUUGCUCUCUCAUGGUAGGAAUUCACAUAGAAUUCUCUCAUUAUGCUCUCGUUGAAAGUGUGUUGAGUUGUACCAACUUAUUCAAUCUUCCGCUCUUUAAUUUUAAGACAAACCACUCAUAUUUACCUUACUGAACUCUCACCCAUCUUUGAUAUGAGUUUCUUCUACAUAUUUGCUUUAAAUGAUACUCAAGAAGUGGAGGGUAGAAGAUAUCCCCAUCAUAAAGAAGUUAUUCAUUAUUUCGAUUGUCAGCACUAGAAUAAGAGAUCCCUCUCAAAAGAAUCCAUUGCCUUUUAGUAACAUUGUUGGAGUCAAUCACUCUUGAUACAACCCAAUUCAAUAAGCAGAUGACUAAGGACACCACGAAAAUUUCACAAUUAGGUUAGUCAUCUCAACAUCCAAGACAAGACCGUACCAAACAUCAGAAGGACCUCAGCAGAAGAAAAACUGGACAUAGACCAGAGCAUCAAAUGUUGUUUCUUCUUGUCGUUUUACAAGACAAGUUUAUGUAAAUAAUUUUGGCUCUUUCUAGGGGUUCAAAUAGAAAAAUAAGCUAGAGUAGGGUGUACUUAGUAUAAAUUGGGCUUGUGCCAAAGCCCACCUUAACCUAGCCUCUAGAAACACAUCCAUGUGCCACCCAUGUGCUCACCUUUGACCUAGAUUCUAGAAGACUCCCCAUGUGCUCACAUUUGACCUAGUUUCUAGAUGCUUGUAGUCAUUUAUACCCCUACCGUUCCUCUCUUCCUCUUCAAGGCACUUAUCUCUAUAAAUAGGGUGUCUCCCCUCUUGUAAAGAACACAUUGAAUUUUGAAUAGAAAAUAAAAUUUGCCAGAGUGUUUAGUGAGUUGAGUCUCCUAGAAUUUGGGUCUUAUCUUGAGUGCUCUACACUUCAAGUGGCGGCUCUUCACCACUCAUCUUGGAGUCUCCUCCCCCUCCAAGUGGCGUGACCACACCUUCAUCAUCCUAAGCUUCUCUUUCCUUUCAUCUUUUUAUUUUUCUUUUCCUUUAUGUUCUUGUGUUCAUCUUUUGCUAUUCAGUUUCCAUCUUCUUUCUUUCCCUUAUAUGCUCUUUAAUUUUGCACCACAUUCAUCAUCAACACCAUAUAAUUGUGUUUUCUCUUUGUCCUCUAGAAGUGAACCUUUACACUUACUUAAUCACGUGGUUAAGUUCUUGUCCAGUGGGAAUCUUCUUUGAGUUUCUCACCAUAUUCGACUUAAAAUAAAAAACCAUAAACAAAAUGAAACACAUAAAAAUGUACAAUUCUAAAAUUAACUCACAUCAACUUUUCUCAUAAUCAUUGUUCUAGUCAUCUAUUAAAAAAAAUAAUAGUAUUAGAAAGUCAAUGCAUCAUUUUAUGUAAAAAAAUAUUAGUGUUAGUUUUUAAAAAAUAAGAAGCACUUAAGCGAAGACGAAAUUGUUUAAAGUGUCAAUCAUUUAAAUGAUAAAAAAAAAUAGGGUCUAAAGGACAUCAAUCAAGAAAGUUAGUAUUUACUUAAUGUUCAACGAGGUGCUUUAAUGUCUUCAAAUCCAAGUGGAAUGCAUGAAGAUCCUUGUUGUUGGUUGUGUGUGUCUAAAAGUAGUUGAAUUUGUUAAUUCACUCCUUGUGGUGAUCCAAGGUUAAAUGAAUCUUAAUCCUUUUGAAAAAAGAUAUGUUUUCUAAAGAAAUUGAAAAUUCAACAUGUUGAAAUGUCGAUUCAACUGGUUGUUUUACACUUAGUAGAUUUUGAAAAGGUUUUGGAAAGCUUGACUUUGUUUGAAUUUGCUAUCAAGCCAAUCGUUUGAUUCGUGAUUUCAAUAGAUUGAUUUUCUGAAAACCUUAACAAAAUUUUGUUAAGUUGUGGAAAUUUGUUUUAAAUGAUUAAAAUUGCUUUUGGUUCUUGAAUUAAAUGCUUUGACCAUCUGAUUGGAGUUUAAAUAAGUUGUUUUACGCUCCUGGUCAUUAACUAAGUAAGAGAGUUUAAUCAAAACUAAUUUUUCAAGAUUUCAAAGUGUUUUGGAUCAUUCUCAAGUGUGGAAUAGGAUAUUCAUGUAUUCUCUGUACUUUAAUCUUUGAUUGUACCUAUGUGUAUUCUAUUCCUUUAUUUCUUGAUCACUGUAAUUCUGUUUGACUUGGUGUUGUGCACUUUCAGAGGUUGUUCUGAAAAUUGUGUGUUGUUUGCCAAAGGUGGUGUGUGUUCUUGAAGGGUUCAAGAUCACCAUUUUGGUGUGUUGUUUGUAAUUAGGGUUUGAUUACUCAGUGAAUUCUUAGUGUUUUUUUAGUAUUGGAUGUAGUUCUUGGUAAAGAGUGAACGAGUAUAAACAUUUUGUUAUCCUUACUCUUUUUAAAACUACUUUAGCUUUGAUUUUAUAAAUUGCUAGUAUAAACAACCAAUUGUUUAAAAAAACAACGGUUGAUUUUCUGUAAUCAAACUAAGAACAGUUUUCUAAUUGGCUGAAAUGAUUGGUUUUCAAUCUACCUUCGAUACUUGCGAAAAUCUUUCAUAAACAAUUUAUACUCCAUCUUUUUUACGGCUUAAGUUAAAUUCAACAUACAUUUAAGAGGCAAUCAUUUAAGUGAAUUAAGACACUUAAGUGCUUUCACUUAAACAUACUUAUUUAAACAUACUUAUUCUAAUAUAAGAAGUUAUCGCUUUAAGCGCAUGAUUCUUCACACUUAAAACAAAUUUGAAAAACACGAGCUCACCAUAUCUUUCAAAGCUACCCUCAAUAACUAUAACUAUACAGAUGAAAAUUACAUUUAUUGCUAUAGUAAAUAUUUGUUAUUGAGAGAACAAAUGUAAAAUAGCAAGCAAAAACAUAAAUAAAAAAGGAGACAAGAAAAGAAAAUAUAAAAGUGAAGUGCAGGAAUGAUGAUAACAAAAGAUCACAUGAUGAAUGCCAAAGAAUCUGAAGAAAUUAUAAGUGGAGAAAGUAGAAAAGAAAGGUAUGUUAAAAAAUGAGUGGGAUAGGAAUUAUACAAGAAGGUGAGGGACGAAUAGAUGUAAAUAUGCUUGUGAUUAGGUUAACAACGAUUAAAAGGUUAAAUAUUUUUAAUUUCCGCUACUUUGAAAAGUUGGUAAAUUUUAAUAUCUUUAAGCACAUGCAACAGUAAACUUAAAGCAGGGGUUAAGUUGUGCUUAACUGAUGUCAAAACACAGAUUAAUUAAGCACUAAAGCAUGAAUUAAGUUGCACUUGCGCUUAAAUGAAGAGAUGUGCUUUACUCAUGACUUUAUGUGACUGCAUUCAAUCACACAUAUAUGCAUCAUUCUUUAUAUUUUUAUCAAAAAAAAAUUUAUUAAUGUAAAAGAGAUUUUUUAUAUAUUAUUUAAGAUAAAAAUUUAUGUACGUUAAUGGAUGUAAAUUUACGUUGGACCCGAUCUCCAUUAUGUCAAGGCACAGCACAAUAAACGUGUAUUUAUAAUAGAAAAAAAAAUUGUACAAAAUUUAUGUCGGAUAUUAUAAGAUUUUAUGUAAAUUUUUGGAUUUUUUUUAAAUUACACUGGGUUUGGCAUCAAACCAAAACCUGAAAUACAUAAAAAGUAGACAUUUUAACUAAAAAUUCUAUACUAAAUCUCUAAUCUAACUUAAAAAAAAUAUGAACAAGAAAAAAAAUCUAUACUAUCAUAAUUCACGUAUAAACAAAAUUUAAUAUUUUGAUAAAUUUUUGACAAUAUAAGUACACAUGUGUACAAAAUAAAAGUAAUUACAAAUAAUCAUGGUCAAUAUCCAAUCAAGUAAAAAUACAUUAAAUUAUAAAAUUAAAAACAUAUUAAAUUACAAUUAAGUGGAAAUACACAUUAAUAUGAAAAUGGUCGAAAAUCAAAGCCAAUGUUACAAUUAAUGUUUACUUUUAAUUCGGUCCGCGAUCCAAGUAAAAUUAUUAAGGAGCUCCUAUAAUACUGCUCACUAACAAUGGCGUUAUUUUGGUUGUCAAAUUCAACACUUCGUUGUAGUAGAAUUUAAUGUCAUUAAUAAUCAUAAGUAGUGUCACUAUGAAUGCGUAGUCCACAUAGGGAUUCACCAAGACAUUGAAGCCAUCAUUAUUCUUCAUCUACAAAGAAACACAAACUAUAUAUGUUCCUUAUUGUAUCACUAAUAUACAAACAUUGUUUCUAUAUUGAUUAAAAGGUUCACAAACAUAAAAAUAUGUUUCUAUAUCCGAUAAUGUAACUAUUAGUGAUAACUAAUAUACUCUUAUAUGAGUAGAGUUUUUAAGCUUACAUAUUUGUUCUUCUCUUUGUUUAGAGGAUCAUCAUAAUACAACUCUAUUUUUUAUCUUAUUCAUCUUUUGUAAUAUGGUAUCUAGAGCUUAUUAAGAUCUGGCCAUGAAUUUUAUUCUUUUUCUUCUAUCAUGCAUUGUAUAAAUUUUUCUAUUUCGUCCUCCUUUCAGCCUCAUACUUUUUAGCCUCCUAUAUAUUUCAAGUUGGAUGAUGACAAUUUUCUUAUAUGACAACAAGUUCUUACGACUAUCAAGGGUCCCCAAGCUCACACAAAUCUUGGAUAAUCCUAAUCCUCCUUUCAAAUACAUAUAGAAGAUGUCGUGAACAACAUUGUAAAUCCAAAAUUUCUUCAAUACAAACAACAAGGUCACAUUCUUGUUGCAUGAUUCCUUGCUUCAAUGUUUACGCUCAUUCUUACAAAGAUGGUUGAUCUAAAUUCUUCCUUCAAAAUAAGGUCCAAGUUAAGGGUGUAUUAUGCGUCUUAGAAUAAAGAAAGAAUUAAGAAACUCAAUAUUGAAUUGAGUUCACAAAAGAAAGAUAGAACCUUUAUGGCGUAUUUGUUAAACAUCAAAAAGUGUGUUGACACUCUUGUUACUAUUGGAGCAACUCUUUCCAAUGAAGAUCAUCUUGAAGCUAUUCUUGAUAGAUUACCUAAAAAUUAUGAUAGUUUUGUUACUUCAAUCAUGUCCCAUCUUGAUCCUUACAUAGUUGAAGAAGUAAAAGCUUUAUUGUUAUCUCAAAAACAAAGGUUUACCAAACAUAGAUAUGUUAUCCACACUUUGGUCCAUCUAAUGAAAACCAACUGAGCAAAUCAAUAUUUGGUGGUUCAUAUUAGAAAAAUAAUCAUUUUCAAUCUCGCAACUCUUCAUCCAGCAGGUUCUUUAAAAUUUUUCAACAUAAACAACAAAAUAGAGUUUUUUUCAUCAAUUCUUAGAACUCCUUCCAAUGUUAAUGAUCCCUUGUGGUAUCCGGAUAGUGGAACAUGCCAUUCUCUAAAUCUAAUACUACUUAUACUACUACUCUUGAAUUAUUGUUCAUUGAUAUAUGAGAUCCAUCCCCGAUUACUUCUAAUAUUGGUGCUAGAUAUGUGACUUUCUUGGAUGCUUUUUCCCAAUUCACUUGGAUAUAUUUGUUGCAUAUAAAAUCUCAAAUCUCUAUUGUCUAUACUCAGUUUAGUUUUUUUUUUUAUGAAACACAAACUAGAUAUAAGUUGAAAUCAAUUCAAACGGAUAAUGCAAGGAAUUUAAUAGUCUUGCAUCAUUUGUUAACAUAAAUGCCAUAAAACAUCAAUUAAUGUGUCCUCAUACACAUGAAUAAAAUGGAUAUAUUGAACGUCAACAUAGACAUAUCACUGAAACUGGUUUGACUCUUUUGGCUAGUGCAUCUAUGCCACGAAAAUUUUGGGAAAAGGCUUUAAUGUUGUUGUUAAUAUAAUAAACACUUUAUCCACCGUUGUUCUUAAUAAUAAAUCUCCUAAUCAUGUGUUCUUUAAAAAACAAUUGAAUUAUGCUAGUUUAGGGACUUUUGGUUGUGCUUGCUACCUUUUCUUACACCACUAUAAUAAGAACAAACUUGAUUUCGAAUUCUCUCUUUAGUUAUUUCUUGGAUAUAGUAAUCACUAUAAAAGAUAUGUUUGCCUUUCCCAAAGGUGGAUGUACCUACAUUUUUAGACACAUGGUCUUUAAUGAAAAUGCUUCCCCUUUUUCCACCAAUGCUAAGUUUUUUCUACAACACAAUUCAAAUUCGCCUAUGCUUUCCUCAACUCCUUUUCCCUUAACUAUGUUUAAAGUUGUUUUUGCCACACUUGAUAAGACCCCAGAUAUUCCCGUUACAACUCAAUCCUUGUCUUCACCUAUUCCUAAUUUCGUUGCUUUGUCUAAUCUACCUGUAACUACUCCAACAACUACUUUUGACGCUACAACCUCCUCAUCACCUUCUCACAACGUGCAUCCAAUGGUAACUCAUGCCAAAUCAUUUAUGUUCAAACCCAAACCUUACAAUGUUUCUGUUUCUGAUAACUACAUUGAACCUGCAACUUUUAAAUAAGCAAUAUGUUGGAGAUCCCACAUCGACUAGAGAUAAGGGCCUUUCAUAGUAUAUAAGUGGGUGCAAACCUCAACCUUAUGAGCCGGUUUUAUGGGGUUGAGUUAGGCUUAAAGUCCACUUUGUAAUAUGGUAUCAGAGCCAUUUCGAGCCUAUCCUAGCGAGUAUUUGUGUUGGGCCUAUCGUGCCAUUCGCUAUCGGACCACCCAAAAAUAUAUAGUCCCACGCACGAGCUUCUAUCUAUCACUCUCGGCGUGAGGGGGGUGUGUUGGAGAUCCCACAUCGACUAGAGAUAAGGGCCUUUCAUAGUAUAUAAGUGGGUGCAAACCUCAACCUUAUGAGCCGGUUUUAUGGGGUUGAGUUAGGCUUAAAGUCCACUUUGUAAUACAAUAGUUGAUCCUAACUAGUUUAAAGUAAUGUAAUUAGAACACAAUUCUCUUAUGAAAAAAAAAACUUGGACUCUCACUAACCUCUCAUAUGAUUCAAAUUUUAUUAACUGUAAAUGGGUAUACAAAACCAAGUUCAAUGCAUAUGGCAACUUCCAAAGACACAAGGCACACUUGGUUUUUAAGGAAUUCCAUCAAACACCUGGUAUUGAUUACUCUAACACAUUCAAUCCAAUUGUUAAACCAAUCACUAUUUGGAUCAUCCUUGCUCCUGCAAUGUCUUGCAAAUGAUCUAUCUACCAAGUUGAUAUCAAUAAUGAUUUUUUCCAUGGUGAUUUAAAGGAAAUUGUAUACAUGCAACAACCACUAGGAUUUAUCUCAUCAAAUACACAACAAGUUUGUAAGUUGAGCAAGACCAUUUAUGAUCUUAAAAAAACACCAACUGGGCGUUAUUUUAUAAACUUAGCCACACUCUUAUCCUGAUGGGUUUUUUUGCUAUAAAGAGUGACUUUUCCUUAUUCACGAGGUUCAAUUAUGUUUCAACUCUACUUAUGUUGAUGAUAUCAUUAUAAUUGACAAUUGUUCUAUUGCAAUAUCAUCUCUUAUUACUUUUCUGCAUACCCGAUUUGCUUUUGAAGAUCUUAGUCCUUUACUUUAUUUUGUUGGAAUAAGGAUGUUGGAUUAAAUGCUUGCCACAUGGCCAAAAGUUAUAACUUUUUCUGCUUAACCUAACCCAUCUAGCCUCCGUCAUAGAAUAAUUGAUGUCACCUGCAACAAUAUCCCCUUCAACAAUUUUCCUAAUAGGAAUCAAACCCUUUGAUUGUGACUUGGCCCAUUUGACCCGCGCCACAGGACAAUUGUGCAACUUUCAACAAUCUCCCCUUAAACAGUUGCCUCACUGUGAAUUAAACUCGUGACCUUAGUUUAGAUACCAAUUGUUGGAUUAAGCGUUUACCACUAUGUCAAAAGUUAUAACUGAUAGUCAUGGUGCAACACUUUCUACUUAAGAGCAUAACAAUUUAAACACCACAAUUCCAUUAUAACCUGACCCAUCUAGCCUCUUCCAUGGAACAAUUGAUACCACUUACAAAACAAAGGAGACCACUAUUCAUCUUUUUCAAACCAAAUACAUUGAACAACUUCUUUGUAGAGUGAACAUGUAUGAACCUUAGCCUCAACCUACUCCAAUGAUAACAUCUCUACACCUCAUUCAAGAUGGCUAAAAUCUUUCCUUCUGCAAUAUGUUACUAUUAUAAGUUCAAAAUUAACUUCUUAUAUUAAUAAAGUCUCAAUAUAUGUACCAACCUCAAUAACAUCUUUAGAAAGCCCUUAAACAUGUUCUAUGUUAUCUAGCUCGAACAAUUUAUUAUGUUCUCGUUAUUCAACCUUCCAAUAAUUUCUCAACCAUUGGGUUUACUAAUGCUAAAUGGGAAUGGGAUUGUGAUCUUGGUGAUUGAAAAUCAACAAUAGUAUACUGUAAUAUCUUAUAUCUUGGCAAAAAUGUGGUUUCAUGAUGAUCUCAUAAAGAAUGUGUUGUGCCCAAAAGUACCACAAAGGUUGAAUAUCAUAGCAUCUGCAACUCUAACUGAUAUUACUUGAAUUGUCUCCUUGUGACGUGAAUUGUGCAUUAUUGAUCAUGUUCCAAACAUAUAAUCAGAUAAUCUAAGUGUUGUCUCCUAGCAACUAAUCUAAUUUUUCAUUCUCAACCAAAACACUUUGAGUUGGAUUUUCAUUUUAUUCGUGAUCAUAUCCAACAAAAAACUUAUUAGGCUAAUUCACCUUCCAAAAAGGUUUUAAAUGGUUGACAUUCUUACCAAACAUCUCUCUCAUUUACUAAGUUUCGUGAUAAACUUCUGGUCUUUCAAAGAUCAACCAUAACUUUACUGAGGAAUGAUAAUGCAAUUUUCAGUGAUAAUGUAAUCGUUAGUGAUAACUAAUCUACAAUUAUAUUAUUAGAGUAUUUCUAUAUGCUAUAUAUUAGUUACUCCCUCUGUUUUGAUAAUUAUCAUAAUACAAUUUCGUUUUUAUCUUCUUCCUCUUUUGUAACAAUAUUUGAUACCAAUGUAGAAACUCUCCAACAUUACUAUUAAAAUAUUUAUAUAGUAAGAGUACAUACCGUGGCAACAACCGUAGGAGAUUCACCUGCAAAAACAGUGCAUGAACUUUUGUCACUUGAAAUGUUUACCCUAAAGUCACGCACACUUUCUUUUUUGUUGUUUGCAAGGAAGACAUCUAAUUUAAUCACUCCACUCUGGAGAAUUUCCGAUUUCUUCACCGAGAACAGCAAUUCGGAGGAAUCACUGCUUUGGCCCCUGAAAACUUGGCAUCGUCGGUGCAUAGUCAUGAUCUAUUAUAAGAACAUUCGUCCAUAGUUUAGUAACUAAGGUGAUUUUGUUGGAAUGUUGAAUUUGUUAGAAACGAGGAAUAGGGUAUAAAAAUGCAUGAACACAGUACAAUCCAAUUAUGCAAUCAGCCCUAAGAGGAAGUGGAAAAACUAUAAAACCAUGCGUGAAAUUAAGGUUACGAAAAAAUUAAGAAAACCGCAACUAUGAAAUAAUAAAAAAAAAAAAGCCAACUUGAUAUAUUUCAAUAAUACAACAUUGACUUUUCACCGGACAAAGUAAAAAGUAGUUAUAUAUGAUUGAGCUACGGGAAAAAACACAUUAACUUGUAACCUUGCAUUUUUUUUUGUCUAUCUCUAUUGCAAGUAAUCAUUAAAGCUGAACAAAAAGUUAUUGUUAAUGGAAAAAUAAAAAUAUUAUAUUUCAACACGUCCCCUUCAAAAUGUCUUUCAACAUUCCAAGAUUUUAUCUUAACGUAAGGCCAUUGGUUACGAUUUAUGCAAUAUGAUUCUCAAAAUUGCAAUGGUCCAAGCCUACUUUUUUUACGUAUGUGCUUGUCUAAUAAUAUCAUUUAAUUCCGUUAUAUCAAAUGACUCAUGAAAUUGAUAGGAUGAAAGGUGAAUCGAAAUGUUGGAAAGAUUAAGUCUAAAAGUUGAAGAGUAAAAAAUAUAAAUAAAUAAAUUAUAAUUGAUUAUUGUAGCAAAGUCCAUAAUAACAUUAUCUUAAUAGAAUACUAUAAAUAGGUCAUCAAUUUAAGAGGUAUGUAGAGUGAAUUUAUCUGAUAAUUAUAUAAAGUUGAAUCUGACUUUGGCAUCGGAGCGCCUUGCAAUUACACACACCCAUCCGUGAAAGGAGACCGAGAGGAGAAGCAGAGAGAUCCAGUUAAUCCAACCCAACCAAGUGAGCUUGCCAAACAAAUAAGUCCAACCUAAAGUUAAGGUAGGAGUGAACCGAAAACCCAACUCGUAAGUAGAGACCGAGAAGCCUAGAAGAUUUAAGAAGUUAACACAUUUUAAAAGAAGAACAGUUUCUAGACCCUUGUACCAAAGUUUAUGUAUACCUUUUCUGAUUGGAUUUUGAACCCUCUUAUGGUUGAAAAUCUGUUAAUCUAUUAAUGUUGUUGUUCUUCUUUUAUGUUUUGCAGGGGAAAAGGAAGGUGUACGGGUACUCAGGCUACACCCAACAGGAAUAGUUGGCUUCUUAGGAAUGUAGUCAACCAGAGUGAAGGAUAAUAUUGCUGCAUGAGUGAGUUAGUGAUGGUCUUAGAUGUAGGGGAGAUUGGGUGACAUACAAAGCAAAUGAUGAAGAAUAGCACCGAAGAAGAAAAUCUGUUGUGUGAUGAUAGUGCUUGGUACACUAGUGCAAUUUCUUUGGACCUACUCUUAUCCAGUAUGCAGAAUUAUGUUGCAGAAUAUAUGGUAGAAAUAGCAUUGGAUACUGAUAAAGAAGAAGUGUUAAGCUUGGGUAAGAGAAAUCAUAUCUUGUAAAUGCUUUUGUUUGUAAAAUUUUCUAAUGGUUCAACUCAAGGGCUACUUAGCUCUACAAGGUUGAAAGAGAAUAUUGGUGAAUAUUGAUCUCUAUUAAGGAAAUAAUAAUUAUCAAAUUAUAUGUAAUUAUUGUAUGCAAUAUUUGACGAUAUUGUACCCAAUUAUAUGCAAUUAAUUUAAUAAUUAUAGAAUCUCAUGAUUAGUAUCCUACCUAAUCAGAUUGUAAUUUGAGGGAGAGAAACUCCCUUAUAUAUUUCCUAUACAUGAAGUGAUGUAAUAUGCACAUAAGAGAAUAAGAAACAUCUCUUCUUCUUACCAUUUUUUAUCAUUUUCUUAUAUGGUAUCAGAGCACCGAUCUUGGUGCCCUGACAGCCUCUCCAUUUUUAUUCCCUAAAUAAAAAAUCAUGUAUGGCAAAGAAGUCACUAGUAACGAGUCCGAUAGAAACCUCGUACAACGCUUCAGUGCCGAGCAAAUUCAGCAAUUGGAAAAGGUUAUUUACUCGCUCAACAAUAACGGUAAAAGUGACACGUUUGUUAGCUCUGCAGAUCUGCUUGCCCAUAACUCCUCUUCUAAUUCUGCUUUUACGAAACCAUGGAUUUUGGAUAGCGGAGCAACCCAUCACAUUGCAUCUGAUUCACAAUUUUUCACACACACUUCAUCAUCAUUUAUUUCAAAUGUUAAUCUGCCCACAGGCUCAACUGCACCCAUCUCAUCUACAGACACAAUUAAAUUCAAUGACAAAAUCACUCUCAAAGAUGUUCUUUGUGUUCCUUCUUUUAAUUUAAAUCUCAUGUCCAUUAGUAAGAUAACCAGUUCACUAAAUUGUUGUGUCGUUUUUACUCCACAUGGUUGCGUUUUACAGGACUUGGCUACGGGGAGGAUGAUGGCUCGGGUAAACAACACGCAGGCUUAUACUACAUGUCCCCUCUUCCAAACCAAGCCCACACAUCUCAAAUAUCGACCGAUCCUGAUUUAUGGCACAAGCGCCUUGGACAUCCUUCUCCGGCGUGUCUACAACUUGUAUCUUCCUUACUACCUAUCCCUAUCAGUAAAAAUCUCAUUUCCAUUCAUAAUCGUUGUAGUAUUUGUCCCAAAGCUAAACAGACAAGGCUACCCUUUCCUUUAAGCACAAUAAAAUCUCAUUCUCCAUUUAAUCUAUUGCAUUGUGACAUUUGGUGUCCUCAUAAAACCCCAACUCAUUUUGGAAAACGUUUUUUUCUCACUAUAGUCGAUGACUAUACUAGAUGUACUUGGCUAUUUCUUAUGAAUCACAAAUCUGAAACCCAACAUCUCUUAGAGUCAUUCAUUACAUUUGCACAAAAUUAAUUUCAGGCAUCUAUUAAAACCAUCCGCGUUGCCAACGGAUUGGAAUUUAUUUCAAUGUAUGAUUUUUUUCUUAAAAAAGGUAUUGAAUGUCAACGCACUUGCGUUUACACUCCUCAACAAAAUGGAGUAGUAGAACGCAAACAUAGACAUGUUUUAAACACAGCACGAGCCCUCCUAUUUCAGUCCAAUUUACCAUUAGAAUUUUGGGGAGAAUGCGUUUUAACUGCCACAUAUAUCAUUAAUCGCUUGCCAUCACCUUUACUAAAAAAUAAAUCACCUUUUGAGCUACUAUAUAAUCAACCACCUUCACUUUCUCACCUAAAAACUUUUGGUUGCCUCUGUUACGCAACUGUUGUUUCACCUAAGCAAAAAUUUGAUCCGCGCGCUCGACAAUGCAUCUUCAUUAGUUAUCCUCACAGUAAAAAAACAUACAAAUUAUUUGAUAUAGAUGUAGACACUUUUUUUACAAGUCGGGAUGUCAUCUUCUAUGAAAGUGUUUUCCCAUUCCGCCAACAGUCACAGACACAAUCCUCACCUCCAUUACAAGGUAUUUUGCCCACUAUUGACAUUGACUUACCCACUCCUGUCCAACAUUCACUCGAUCAACCUUCUUCUCUUACUCAUUACAAUGCACCUGAAUCUCCAUCAAACCAACCUUCUUCUCCUACUUGUCACAAUACACCUGAACCUCCAUCAAACCAACUCUCUUCUCCUACUCGUCACAAUGCACCUGAACCUCCAUCAAACCAACCUUCUUCUCCUACUCGUCAUAAUACACCUGAACCUCCAGUAGACCAACCUUCUUCUCCCAUGCCAAGAAGUUUAGCACCCAUUACCAAACCUUCUCCAACCGACCUUCCUGUUCGACGAUCCAGUCGCACAUCAACCCAACCUUCCUGGCUUCAAGACUACGUAACGGGAUCCCAAGCCAAUCAUUCGACCACUGCCCAAGACCGACCGAAUGGAACCAGGUAUCCUAUGAAUCAUUUUCUUUCUAAUUCACGAUUUUCUUCUACACAUAGUGCAUAUCUUGCUAACAUCACAGCCACCAAAGAACCUCACACUUAUGCUAAAGCUAUCCUUGAUCCAAAUUGGCAAAAAGCAAUGGACGAAGAGCUUUCCGCCUUGCAGCUAAAUCAAACGUGGACCUUGACACCGUUACCCGCUGGGCAGAAACCCAUUGGAUGCAAAUGGGUCUAUAAAAUAAAGUACAACUCAUAUGGUAGCAUCGACAGAUAUAAGGCGCGCCUUGUCGCAAAGGGGUACACUCAGAUUGAAGGUGUCGACUAUUCUGAAACUUUUUCACCUACAACAAAAUUAACAACUUUGAGGUGUCUCCUCACCAUUGCAGCAGCCAUAAAUUGGUUUACUCACCAGCUAGAUGUGUAAAAUGCCUUCUUACAUGGCACAUUGCAUGAAAUUAUUUACAUGGACUUGCCACCCGGCAUCAUCGACAGGGGGAGAACAUUGUAUGUCGACACAAAAAAUCCCUUUAUGGUCUCAAACAAGCAUCUCGAACAUGGUUUUCAACAUUUUCUCAUGUGAUUAAAUCUGUAGGAUUUCAACAGUCCAAGACAGAUUACUCUCUAUUCACAAGACAGAAUAACUCAUCAUUUACUGCCCUUUUGAUUUAUGUGGAUGAUAUUCUUUUGACAGGGAAUGAUUUGACCGAAAUUCAGUGUGUUAAAGAUUGUUUAUUACAACAAUUUCGCAUUAAAGAUCUUGGAGACCUAAAAUAUUUUCUAGGGAUUGAAUUUUCCCGUUCCAAAGCUGGUAUACACAUGUCCCAAAGAAAAUAUGCACUUGAUAUUUUGCAGGAUACGGGACUCACAGGUGCUCGUCCAGACAAAUUUCCAAUGGAACAAUACCUAAAACUCACACCAGACGAUGGAGAGUUAUUAAAGGAUCCAGUCAAAUACAGGCGACUCGUGGGACGACUGAUAUACCUCACGAUUACUAGACCUGACAUAGCAUUUUCGGUUCGGACCCUAAGUCAAUAUAUACAGGAUCCACAGAAACCUCAUUGGGAUGCUGCAAUUCGAGUCCUAAAGUAUCAAAGUAUCACCAGGACAAGGAUUGCUAUUGCCAUCCGAAAACAAUUUGACAUUGACAGCUUAUUGCGACUCAGACUGGGGAGGUUUUCAGACAACUCAGAGAUCAGUAUCUGGAUAUUGCAUUUUUCUUGGUUCCUCUAUUAUCUCAUGGAAGUAAAAAAAAACAGACAAACGUAUCAAGAUCAUCAGCGGAAGCAAAAUACCGCGCAAUGGCCAAUACUUGUUUGGAGAUAGUUUGGUUGCGAUAUCUGUUGCAGGAUUUAAAGGUGCCAUGUAACUUGCCAGCUUAACUUUUCUUUGACAAUCAAGCGGCAUUACAUAUAGCAACAAAACCAGUAUUUCAUGAACGCACAAAACACAUUGAGAUAGACUGCCACAUUGUGCGAGAAAAAUUACAAGUUGGGAUAAUCAGUCCUUCAUAUGUGCCGACACAGUAUCAGCUCGCAGAUAUUUUUACGAAGGCAUUGGGCCAGGAACGAUUUUUGACGCUACGACACAAGUUGGGGUUCUUGAUCUUCACUACCAACUUGAGGGGAGUAUUAAGGAAAUAAUAAUUAUCAAAUUAUAUGCAAUUAUUGAAUGCAAUAUUUGACGAUAUUGUACCCAAUUAUAUGCAAUUAAUUUAAUAAUUAUAGAAUCUCAUUAUUAGUAUCCUACCUAAUUAGAUUGUAAUUUGAGGGAGAGAAACCCCUAUAUAUUUCCUAUACAUGAAGUGAUGUAAUAUACACAUAAGAGAAUAAGAAACAUCUCUUCUUUUUAAGUUAUUUUGCUGAAUAUGUUUGGUAUUAAUGAUGGAAGAUCCUUAUUUUUUCUUCUGUAAUUUUUCUUUAUGGAUAUUGCAAGAGCUUUUAUUAGGAUUAUUUUUGUGCAGUAGUUUUUGUAUAAGAGUUAAAGUAUAAUACCUCUAUUUAUUUACUGUUUGUGCUAAUAAAAAAAAACCUCCAAAAAUGGUAAAACUAUGAAGCCCUUUGUUGAGCAAAGCAAAAGAUAAUCAUAACCAUACCAAGAGAAGAAACAUCGUUAACUUAUAAUUAGAAACAUGUUUUUCUGAAUCGUAAACAAACUUUUAAUCAAUAUUAUAAGCAACCUAAAAAAUUAAGCAGAUAUUUAAUAUCAAAGAUAAAAUGGAAAUCUGAAAUUGUAACAGAAUCGAUAAGGCUAUAAUCGAGUAAUUUGAUGUGGGAAGUGAAGGAGUAUAAUUGGUCAGAGUAGCCAAACCUUCUUGUACAGAGUGAGGAUGGGUUUUCCAGCAUCAUCAUACAAGACACGACGGUCGUGAACUGUUAAAAGGGGACGUUUGAUAUAAAAACGAAGGCGACCAUUUGCGUCGUAAGUGGCACCUUUCUCAGUGUUAAUUUGAAGAUUGAUAGUGUAAGGAGCACAGUAGGAACUGUUGAUAACUUGGAAUGGAUUUUCCAUUGGCGAGGGAGACACAGUAUUCUGAGCUGUAUAUGAUUGAUGGAGCAACCUACGAAACCACUGACUUAUGUUCACGCUGUUAUUGCAAUGUAUGGUAUCCAUGGAUACACGCCUUAAACACGGGACUUAGUCAAACUUUAAACUGAGGCGAAAUGUCAAAUAGGUUAAAUUUUAUGAAACAAGUACGUGCGUGACGUAUGGUAGGUAGUGAAUUAGAGUUAGAAGUAGAAGAAGACUUUAGUUGACUCCAUAGUUAAAACACGGAUAUGAACAUUCCGCAAACUCGAUACCAUGCAACUCAGUCAUUUAAUAGCUUUCAUUACUGGACCCACCAUGCACCAAGGUUUUGUUUUUUCUUAUCAUCAGCUACCUUACCUAUCAGUAUUAAUUGCAAAAAUUAUUAUUAUGAUUUAAGACUUUGUUAGAAAACUAUUUCUGGUAAUUAAUUAUAAAAUUAAUAUAAUUGAUUGUCAGUUUUCUUCUCUUCCGUCAAGAUAUUUUCGUUUUCGCUCUAAUUUUUUUUCUGUCUUUCUCUCAUUUACUAUUUUCUUUUCAUUUUCUUUUAUAUUUUUCUAAAAUACAUUAUAGUAGAUCAGAGAAUAAGAUAAUGAGAUUUCACUUUUCAUUUGUUUUUUCAACUGAUGAACAAUAUGAUUUAAUAACGCCUUAAUAUGACCAUUUGAAUUUACCUGUCAUGAGUCAAAUAAUGAUAAAUUUUUUAAAAAAAAGUGUCUUUUGUAGUGCAAAAUGUGCCAAUUACUCACCAUUUUGACAUUAAAUGUCGAAAUAUACAAUUUUAAAAAAAUGUGGUAAUAUUUUUGUAAAUACUUCAAAUAUAUUUACAUCAAACGUAGUAAGAUUCAACGUAAACAUUCAUUUUUAUGUCAGACAUGUUAAUGUUAAGAUCCAAUAUAAAUAUCCAUGUUUAUGUCAUACGUCAUAUCAUUCAAAUAGAAAAAGUUAUCAUAGUAAGUUUAAUCAAAUUAACAAAGCACUACUAUCACUCUUAAUAAAAGAAAAAAGAUAGUCAAUAUUAGAGAAAUGGGAACUAAGAAAAAUUUGUUGAAUCCAACUUCAAAUAUGCAAAACAUUAAGACAUUCAAAAAAAUAAAUGUUGAAUAGAUUCUUCCUGUUUUUCACACAACAUACACAUAGAACAUAUAUAUGCAAAUCCCUAUGUUGAAUAUGUUGAUCUUUAGGAAGUCAUCAAUUAAAAACUUUUCAGAAUACUAAAAUUUUAGAAGAAAGAAUAUAUGGAUAGCAAAUGAGUUUUUAAUGACGUGGUAAAAAUUAACGAGGUUCCAAAGUAAUUAUUUAUAUAAUAUUAUUAUUUUUAUUUCUUUUCAGUUGCAUAAUCACAUUUGUUACUAAUAUAUAAAUCAACUCAAUUUUUCUCAAUCUAAAUAAUUUCAUUUUCUAUUUUUUUUCUCAUUCUUUCUUAUCGGUUAUGUAUUUUUAAUGACAUAAUUAACCUCAUGUAAUAACGAGGAUGACGGCUUAAUAAUUGUCAGUCACAAUUUUUCGGUAAAUAAAGGCAUUAUAGAUUAAAAACAUUGGUAUUAAUCCUUUUAUAAAAAAAAAAUUAAAUCAAAUAAAUUUUAAUGAUGUUCUCUAAGAUCUAACCGCUCCUUAUCCUCAACAAAAAAAUGACUUACGACACAAUACAAUAAUUUUUUUAUAAGCAUCAUCUUUAAUUCUCAUUCUCAGAUCAAUUCGAAAAUUGACAUUUAUUUUUUAUCAAAUUAUAUAUGUUUUUAAUGACUAGUGGGUAUGUUUUUUAAUCAUUUAUCAAUAUUAAUAUGUUUUUUUAUUAGUAAAUAAUAGAAUAAAAUAAAUUAGAAGAAUGUCCCAGUACCAACCUGCACCUAAUAUGUCUGAAGAAUAUAGUUUAUCAAAUACUUGGAUUUUAUGUCACCGAAUUGGUUUGGAGAGACUGAAAACACCAAGUUCAUGGUACUCCAAUAGAGGGACCAAAAGUGUAUGUGGUUGAAGUGUAGACCAAAAACAAAUAACCUCUGAAGUCAAGUCUUCUCCGCGUUUUCUUGUUUUCCACAUCCACCGUUAAAAUUUUAGAUUAUUGUUUCAAAUUUAUAAAAUCAUAAUUUUUAGAAUUAUAGGAAAAGUUAUAUAUUUAUCUCCAAUAUUAAAUUAUAGGAUUGAAAAAUAAGAAAUUGUUUGGAAUUUUAAUAAACCACUAGAAAAAUGUAUAAGUAAUUAUUUAAAUAAUAUAAAGUAUAGGAUUAAAUCAUUUAAAAUUAUUUUAGUUAAACAUGUUUAGUUUUUUUUAUCAACAAAUAAUAUACAAUAAAUUAAAAUAAAGUCUUUAAGGAAUACUCUAACUUAUAUAAAAAAUAGACUAAAAAUCCUUACAAGAAGUCCAAAAACCGAGUAAUCAGUAAAAAAGAUCUUAAAAACACCAUCAAAUCAAUCUAAUUGCUGUGUUUGCUGUGCCAAAACAGAAGCACCACAACAUAACCUUGUUGUGACUUGGUUUAUUGCAUGAUAUACGAGAGACUCCCAUCCAUCAUUGUGGUAACUCCUACUUAUUAAUUUGUCCUUAUAGAUUAAUUUAUGUGCUUUAUUCUGUUAUAAUUUUAUUUUAUGUAAAUCCUAAAUCCUAAAUCUUAAAUCCUAAUCUUAAUUGAUGUGCUUUAUUUUUUGUUGUUAUAAUUUUAUUUAUAUUUAUUUUUUUAUUCAUGCAUAUAUAUUGAGCAAACUUUCAAUUAAUUAUUUACAUUAAGUUAUUGAACUAUUUGAAAAAAAUAUUUUACAUUUGUUAAGAUGUACAGAUUAAAUCUAACUUUGGAAAAAAAUUAAACCAUUUAUUUUAUUCUUUUUAUAUACAUUUAUUUUAUCAACAAGUAAAGCAAAUAAAGUUUUAUAUAAAAAAAUUAUAAUCAAAUUCUUAUAUACAAAUUCUCUUAAUCUUCAUAAAAAACACAUAUCAGCCGGAUAAAACACUACUACAAAAAAAAUCAGUAUUAUGUACGGAUUUUUAUCAACGGAUAUGAGUCCGUAGGUAAAUUCAGCAUUACCUACGGAUAUUACCUACGAACAACAUUACCUACCGACAUUAUCCACAGAUUCUGAAUCCGUAGGUAAAUUCAACAUUACCUACCAACUAUUAUCCACGGAUCUUAUUACCUAUCAACUUUUACCUACGGAUCUCUAUUACUUACCAACUAUUACUCACGAAUCUCUAUUACGUACGAACUAUCACCCAUAAAUUUCUAUUACCUACCAACUAUUGUCAUAAUAAUUAUACACAUAAUAUUAAAAAUAUUAAUAUAAUAUGAAGAAUUAUAAAAUCAUAAUUCAUAUUCAUAAAAAAUAAUAAUCAUAACUAAUUUAUACAUAUUAUUAAUAUUAUAAAAUUAAUAAUAUUAAUAUAAUAUUAAUAAUAUUAAAUAAUAUUAAUAAUAUUAAUAAUAUUAAUAAUAUUUAAUCAUAUUUAAUCAUAUUAAUAAUAUUAAUAUAAUAUUAAUAAUAUUAAUAAUAUUAAUAAUUAUUUAAUAAUAUUCAUAAUAUUUUAUAAUAUUAAUAAUGUAUACCUAUAUAUAAAGGGGAUUCUCUCUUUAACUGCUCUCAAAUUCUUCCUAUUUUAUCCUUAUAUUUAUAUUUAGUUUUAUUUCAUUAUUUUGGGUAUUGCGUCAUUUCCUUCUUUUUAAAAAUAUUUGAAAUAAAUGGAGGAGCGGUUUUGAAUUAAAAGAGAUGGUUUAUAUUUUGAAAAUGAAUUGCUACAAAAAGAGGGAGUGUCUGUUAAGAUUAUGGGAGAGAAAUAAAUUUAAAAAUUAUUUGAAAUAAAUCGAGCAACUGUUUUGAAUUUAAAGAGAUAAUUUAUUUUGAAAAUUAACUGCAUAAUGAGAGGAGUGUCUGUUUGAUGAGAGAGAAAUAAAUAUUAGGAAAGGUGAGUAAUGAGUAGUGGCCGAACGUGAGCAAUUUUGAAAAUUCUUGAGUAUAUUGACAUUUUGUCAUUUUCCAUUAUUACUGAGCGGUUACAUAGGAGUAGUGGGUUUCAGGAGUUUUCACCGGUUACAUCCACUUCAUUUUCUCUUUUAUAUUUCGACUCCAAAGAAAAAAAUUCUCAUAAAUUUUGACACAUCUUGAACCCUCUUCCUUCACGCUCCGUGUUCUUCUCCUACUCUCACCCAUCUCACGUCCACUACAUCCAUUCCGCCUUUUCAUCGGCCUCCACUCUUUCAAAAUGCUCUCUAAGCACAAAAGAAGUCUAUAUAAUUUUGAUUAUUUAAUUGUUGGAAGAGCAAGUGGAGACGGAAGAAGUAGAAAAUGGAUAAGCUGAUCUAGGUGAAGGAGAAUCAACUAUUCUUCCCAAUCUUUUGCGACCCCUUUCACUAAUCUCAACUAGGUUGAUUCUGAUCUCGCUUGCUUGAACCCUCCAGGAGCAGGUUUCACUUUUAUUCUUUUUUUUCUCAUUCUACUAUAUUCCUUCAUCUUUACUCCCUUUAAUUGGGGAAAAAUGAUUAUUAACGUAACACUAAUUUGUUUGUUUGUUUAUUCAUGUGUUUUGUUUGAGUUUUGGUGGGAUUUUUUUUUUUCAGUGUAUGCAAGGUAAAACAAUUAUUUUGAUAUUUAGUAGUUUUUUUUUGGAUGAGUUUAGAGAGAAUGUCUCCAUUAGAACUGUAAUCACUUUUGUUGUCAUAUUAAAUCAUUAUUAUUAUCUUAUUUUAUAUUUAGUAUUAGAUCAAUCAUGGGGUUUCACUUAUUCAUAUAGUUGUUUUUUCAAUAAUGUUUGCAUAAGUGUUUUUUCUUUUAUAGUAAUGUAAUUGUAUAUCUGGAAAAUUAUGUUUGAUUGUAAUUCACCAUUAAUUAGUAUCUUUUGUCUUCCAGGUGUUAGGCAUGAUGGUUGAUAUUUCUAUAUAUUCGAUGUACAAUUUGGAAACAAAGCCUCACAAGGAAACUUCCUGCUUCUAAAACACGGGCUACUAAUGAUGAAGCAUCUGAAGAACCGGUGAUUGACCAUUCUAACAAUGUUGAGAAAAAAAAAUCUAACAAUGUUGAGACCCUCACAAAGUAGUGUUAACAAUGAGGCACCAUCAACCACUGUUGAUUAAUGUAUUUUCAUAUUCGUGGAAUGUUUGGAAAUAAAAGUAUUCCACAAUAAUAGUAUUCUUUUCUUUUAAUUCUCAUGAUUUUGAAUCUCAUACUUUUUUGUUAAUAUUGGAAAAAAGUUGAAUUUCCAUGUUAUUCUAAAGUUUGCAGAAAAUAUUGUUGGCUAACUCUGUCUCAUCGGAUUUUAUAUUUUAUUUUAUUUUAUUCUCGACUACAAUUUUUAGUUUUUGUUUAUAUUAAUUUUAUAACAAUAAAAUAUAAAGAGAUUAUAUCAGUUUUAGUUAUGCAAAGACUAAUAUUUAUUUAAUUAUUAAAGAGUGUAUUUAGGAUAGCAAAAUGUGAAAAAAAUUGAAUAAUAACAAUUAGGACAUAUAUAAUAAUUUAAAGAAAUAUUAUAUAACUAUUCCUAAUUAAUUUUAUAUAAAUAAUCCUAAUUAAUUUAUUUUACAUUCAAUUAUUUUUAAUUUUUAAAAGAUUAAUGUGGUAUAAACAUUCAAAAUCUUAACCAUGGAAGAUGAAAAAUAUAUAAGAAAAGAAAAAAAAUCAUAAAAUUAGUUAAUAGUUUUACAAUUUUAAUAUAUUUUUUUAAAGAAAUUAUUAUAAAAUUAAGCACUUUUAAUUUAUAACAAUUUAUUAUUUAAUUUUAAUAUAUUUUAAUUUUAGUGUUAUUUAUAUUUUAACAAUCUUAUGUUUGCCACUUGAAUUUAAUACAGAAAUACCGUUUAAAUUAUUAUUAACUAACUUAGUUUUUUUUACUGUAAUUUUAUUAAAAAAUAGUAUUAAAAUAUUAUAUAACCUUAUUUACAAAAUAAAUUAUUUAGUUAUUUUAAAAUAAUGAAAAAUUAUUUGAUUGUUUAUUUUAAAUUAAAUAAAUAAAUUAUAUUUUAUUUACAUAAAGAUUUUUUUGUAUAAAUAUAAUACUAUUUAAAUAAAAUUUUAUUUUUUUUAAACAAAUAAUUGUAUAUACAGUUUUUUUUAUUAAAAUUUCAAGUAAAUCCAAUCUGCUUAAAUGAAUCUUUCGCAUAUCUUUUCAUAUCUUUAUUAUAUUAAAAAAUAUAUAAUUUUAAUAUGUUAAUUUUAAAAUUUAAUUGUUUUAUGUUUUCGUAUUUUUAUUAUAUUAAAGUACAUAUAACUUUACUAUGUUAUUUUUAUAAUUUAAUUUUUUUAUGUUUUCAUAUUUUUAUUAUAUUAAAGUAUAUGUAACUUUAAUAUAUGUUAUUUAUACUUCUAUACCUAUAUAGGGAUUCCCCACUUAACUGACAUUUUAUUUUAUUUCAAUUUUAUCUUUAUAUUUUUAUUUUAUUUUAUUAUUUUAUAAAUAUAUGAUCGAAGAUAUUUUUGUGAGUAGUUUUAAUUUUAUAUCUUAAAGUGAGACUAACAGAAUAGAUAAAAUUAUUUUUAAAUUCAAAAUUAAACAUUGCAAAGUGAGACUUGCUUAGGAGCAUUGCACAAUUGCAUCUUUUUUCGUUCAUCUACAUUUUUAUCCCCAUGAAACGUUUUUUUCGUUUUCAGAAGUUAUAUUAUCAUUCCAAAACCACGAAAUCAACCAAUACGUAUUGUUUUUCAAUUAUAAAAUAGAAGAUGGAUAUGCAAUGUGUGAAUUUACUUUUUUUUUUUAAUGCAAUGUGUGAAUUUACUCUUUUUUUUAAAAUUUAUUUAUGCAUAUGGGUGCACUGUCCAUUCUUGAAUUUUCCAAAGAUUGAAAAUACAAAGAGAGGAUAGGAAGAGAAUACAGGUGUUGCAGUUGAAUGAAGAUAUCAACACAAAGCAUUUACACAUUUAUCUACACAAACAUGUAUUUAUUAAUAUAUGUAUAUUGCAUAUAUAUAUAUAUAUAUAUAUAUGUCUGUGUGUAUUUUGCAAUUUAUUCAUAAUUGACAUUCUUUAGUAGGAAUAAAAUUUGUAAAACAAUGGAACACUUAGAAGGAUGAUCGAACACUCGCAUUGAUUACGCCAAUUAACACCAAAGUAUAAUGAUUUUACAUAAUGAUGAUGAUAAUGAUAUUUUUUAUUCAUAAUAUACUAUAAAUUUAUAUUGUUAAUAUAAGUGUGUAAAUAAUAACAUUAUUUAUUUGAAUUUUUAAUAUUAAACAUAUAUAUAUAUAUAAAUGAUAAAAAUAAAAAAUGCGGAUACACAGGCGUGAGAGCACCUGUGUGCCCGCUAGUAUUUUAUAAUAUUAAUAAUAUUAAUAAUAAUAGGAAUAUUUAAUAAUAUUAAGAAUAUUUAAUAAUAUUUAAUAAUAUUAAUAAUAUUAAUAAUAAUGAUGAUAUUAAAUAUAUGAAGAAUAUUAUUAAUUUUUAUUUUAUUAAUUAAUAAUAUUGAUAAUUAUACUAAUAAGUAUAAUAAUAAUCAUAACUUGAUAAUAAAACUUGAUUGGUGUAAUGGGUAAAACUUUUAUGAACAUUUUUCAAGGGACUUGACUUUUAAUUCUAACAUUAAUUAUAAUUCUCAAUAAUAAUCAUAAAAUUUGGAAAAAAAAUAAUAUUUGUUUUAAAAAUAAAGUAUACUUUGAGUCAGUGGGUGGGUUCUUUCUAUAAACUUUUCACUAAUUAUUUCUUCUGUAGACUUUUUGCUGAUAAAAAAAUUUGUCUCUAUGUGAUUUUUUUUUAUAAGUAAAGUUAUCUCUAUGUACAUACUUAAUUGUGGUAGGGAUACUUAGUUGUUGUAUUAUUUGUGACCUUUUAUUUAAUAAUGCUGUCAAGAUGUUGCAAGUGGGGAUUGGUAUUGAACUUGAAUUAUUUGUUUUAUNNNNNNNNNNNNNNNNNNNNNNNNNNNNNNNNNNNNNNNNNNNNNNNNNNNNNNNNNNNNNNNNNNNNNNNNNNNNNNNNNNNNNNNNNNNNNNNNNNNNAUGAUCGUCUCUUUUAUACUGACGAUACUUUUUUCACACUCCACAACCGUCGUGUCUUAUAUGAUGAUGCAGAAAACCCCAUCGUCACUCUAUACAAUAAGGUUUGGUUGCUCAUGCAUCUAGCAAUACUCAUUCUCAAGUUAAUAAGUUUUAUUACUUUAAUAUUUUCCCACCUACAAAACUAAUCUCUGCUUAAAUUUUUCAUUCUAGCCACUAACCUAACCAUGGUGUUAUUAUUCUCAAUUUUUAUGCAGAUGGUGUCGUUGCAUGGCAGAUGCAAAGUUUUCAGGGGUGAAAGCACUGAUUCAUCUGAAUUGCUAUUUUUGGUGAAGAAAAUCGCGAAAUCACCUGGGAUUACUAAAUUAAACGUGUUCCUCGCAAACAACCAAGGCAAAAA